rnacentral:lncRNA from 1 species
UUGGAACCACCUUAUAAUGUUCUUUUACGUGUUUUCUUUUAGAUCGCACAACACUAGUUUUUCCUUGUUGUCCAACAACAAAUGUUCAUUAUUCAGAGUGUGUAACAAGUAACACUUGAAUUCUUCAUUCAAGUUAUUCCUACGACUGUUAUAUGGGGAAGCCAUCUUACUCCAAGAUGUGUCAACACCAUACUCUUUCAUAACCCACAUCUUACUUGGAUCUUCAAAACCCUGUACGCAAAGGCAUCCUCCUACAACCCUCAACUUAACAUAUACUUCUUCUUCUUCUCUCGGAAUUGCUAGCUCCCGAAACUGCUCCUUUUCAAAAUCAAAAGCCAUGAUUGUAUCAAAGUCAUGAAUUGGAUCAUAAGCUACCCAAUGGAGUGCCCCAUGUAAAACAGUUGCACAUAUGUACGCAACCCUGGUGUGAUGUUUUUUCCUGAAUUCUUUUCCAUUUAUUGGAUUUCAGCGAGAAAACAUCCACCACGGUCUCAGUGUUAGGAUCGAGCAUAGAAACAACAAAUAUCUUGUAGUCAUCGGCAAAGGAGUCAUACCCAAAUCCAUGGCAACCAAGAAAAUCCAGAACGUUAGGAUUUGGUGGUAAUUGAUUGCAUUGUCUGGUAGAUGGGUUCCAUAAGACAAUCUUAUUCGCCAAAUCAGCUAUACACAAUAACCCAUCACAGGAAUCCAGAAGAACGACUUCGUAUUUACAUUUUCCAAUAUCAAAUAAAUAAUUAAAAGCCAAUGACCCACCGUCAUCAUCGCUAAAUGCUUCACAGUACUCUUUGGUAGAGGCUCGAACUACCAUGAUUGUUGCCACGUUCGCUAUAGUCCAAGAUGCAAAACCGAGUUCUAGCUUGGGUUUGUGGUAGUCGGAGGUGACUUCUAACGAAAUGGGGAUGGGAAAUUAAUGCGCGCCAAGCUUUGCAAACGCACCUGAAACGGAUCAGAGACUUGACUGGUGAUCUCAAGAGUAUGUUCUCCAUGAUGUGAAGAGGUAACUCCGCCAUUGUUGUCUUCUUUGAUCUUCCUAAACCUACAAUCACCCUUUUCCCUUUUUAGUCCAAAAAUAUAUUCUUUUCUAAAGAUUAGAAAUCCACCUAAAGAAGAAAGAAAAAAAUUACUUUCCUCCAAAUAUUAUAACUAAUAUAAUUUCAAUUUUGAAAAUACUUCCACAAAUUAUUUUUGCUAAAAAAUAGCUAAAUAUCUCUCUUUUAUUAACACAUCAUGGUCAAAUUAAUCCUCUAAUGCCACGUGAUUUUACAUGAACAAAUUUAAGUUAAAUAUGGUGAUAACUAAUUAUCAUAUUCGUGGACUUCGAAGAUGUCAAAAUUGUAUUAUUUUUUAUUUUUUAUUUUUUAUAAUUAAUAAAUAAAAUAUUUAGUCUAGAAAUAAUUACUAUUUUAUAUUAAGCAAAUAAUGAUUAAAAAUUAUUUCUCUUAAUUUUAUUUUUUUUUCUUGAAGAUUAAUUUAUAUCAAUUGAUUGUAAAAUAUAAUAUAAUUUUCUGUAUUUUUUUUAUUCUUUUUACUAAAAAAUGGUUUUCAAAAUAUGAUUCGAAGGGUUAAAUUUUAAAAUAAAAUAACUCUUUUUUAAUUUGAAAUUAAUUCAAAAUUAAAAUUAAAUAUUAUUCAUUUUUAAAAAAGAAUAUAAUUUUAUUUUUUAAAAAAAAUAAAUUAAAUUAAAAUACAAAAUGUUUUAAUUUUUUUUUUCAAAAUUUUAAACAUUUUAUCUACCAUAUUAACUACAAUAUAAUUUAAUUUAGGAAAAAUGAAUAUGGUCACCAAUAAAAAAAAUUAAAAUUUAUUUAUAAGAGAAAAAUACAAGUCUUAAACCCUAAAUUACACCAUUUAAUGUCUUAUUAAUCAAAAUUUGGUCAAUACUUCGACUACUUAUCUUUUUCUUGGAAUUAAAUUCCAUUCAUCAAACAAAAUGUCUUUUUUAAAAAUUAAAAAAUUAUAACUUGCUUGGGUUAUGAUAUUUUAAUUAAAUAACUAUAAUUUAUCAAAAUAAAAAUGAAAAAUAUUUUCAUAGUAUAAAAAUAAUCAUAAAGUUAACCUAUUAUUGUUUAUUUUAAAUUAUUAUUCAUAAAUGAUUUUAUUUUUUGAAACAUUAUAAUCUUUCAUCACCUACAUCUCAAUUGGAUAUUUUUUAGCUCACCGGGGUUUAGAAUUCCUUUCUAUGUUCAAUCCUUUCUUCAAAUAAAAAUUUAUUUACAUUCUAUCUUUUCCUGGUAUUUUCCCCUAAAAUUAUAGCUCGAUCAUGUUUUCUAAAAUUUAUUUUUAAAAAUUAUUUUUUAUUUUUUAACUUAAAAACAAUUUUUUUUAAAAAAAAAAACAUUGUUAAACAAGCUCAUGUUUUCUUUUUAUUUUUAAAAAUGGGUGAAAAUAACUUCUACUUAUUCUCUAAAUAUUGUUUUCUAUUUCACUUUAUUUUUAAAAAAUUGUUUUCACAUAACCAAUUGUCAAACAAUGUUAAAAAUUUGAAAACAAUUUUCUAUUUUUAAAAAUAGAAAACUAUGUUUAAAUCCAAUGGUCAAACAUUGUUAAAAAUUUAAAAACAAUUUUCUAUUUUUAAAAAUAGAAAACUAUGUUUAAAUCACAUUGUCAAAUAGGCUCUAUGUUUUUUAUUUUGUUUUUUUUUUUUUUUUAAGUUAAGAAUAAGAUUUUUUUUAAAAAGAAAAGAAAAGAAAAUGUGUGAUUAGUUUGUCCAAAAUAUUGUAAAUUGUAACUUGAAAAAUACUUCUCUCUACACAUUGUUACAAAGGGGAGGUGACAACAUGAUAAUUUUAGACUUCUGUUUUAAAGAGAGAGAGUAACAAAAAUUACUAUUUAGAUUUUAUAUUUUAAAACUAUAUAUAUAUAUAUAUAUAUAUAUAUAUAUAUAUAUAUAUAUAUUUUAAAAAACAGAUACAAAUAUUUUUAAAAUUUAAUAAUUUUUUCCAUAGUAAAAGAAGUAGAAAUUUAUUAUUUUUUUCAUUUUAUUUUCUAUCCUCAUCAUUAUCUACCAUCUUUUCAAUUUGAAAAAAAUAAUUAAUUCUUUUUUUUUUUUUUUAAAAGAGGGUAAUAUUAGCAUCACUCUUCUUUAACUUUUUAAGGUAGGUAUACAAAGGAUAUUCUUUUCUCUAGCAAAGAUACUAGAAUCCUCAAAAAAUUUUACAUUCAUUAUUCAAAACUUGAUAUGGUUACAAACAACUUGUUGACGGAACCAAGCAUAGAAGCCUUGUAAACAGAGGGUGCUAGCAUUUUCAAAGCCCCAACACAAGUUAAUUUCAUGGAAGUGAAACGUAUUCUUUUCUAUUUAAAGGCCAUAAUUGGUUACGGAAUAAGAUUGGUACAUAUCUUAAAGUAAUCUCCAAUUGGGAAAAAUAUUUUAUCUUACUAGGAGAAGUUCUACAAGUUAUUGCGUUUUUUCUCGAAUUCACUUAGGUUAUAUUUAGUUCCCAAAAAAAUUAAGGAAAUAAAAAAAUAUUAAAUGAAAUAAUUCUCUCAUGCUUGGUUGGCUUAUGAAAAAUAUCAAAGAAAAUCAAAUAAUUUUAUCAUAUUUUGUUAUCUUAUGAAAAAUAUCAAAUAAAAUCAAAUAUAAUUUAAACUAGUUAGAAAUUUACGUAUUUUAAAAGUAUUUAAUCUUUAUAUCAAUGAGUUAAAAUAAGUUAAUUGAGUUUGAACUGGUAAAUAAGAAGAAUUUAUUAAUUUUAAAUCUAUUUUUUAUUUUCUUUUACUUUUUUUUUUUUCUUCUCUAUUUUCUUUCCCUUAAAUUUUCUCUCAAAUUUUUGGGGAACCCUUAAAAUUAUAGUUUAAAGAUCUCUUAUUGUUGUCAAAGAAAGAAACUUUAUUUUUUUCAAGGAGUUGUGUUGGAAUGCUAAUGAAAAUUUUCCCUAAUUCUUGUCAGUUUAAGUUGCUCUUGUGUUGUUAAUAUAUGCUUUAAGGGAUAGAUAUAAAGCUCAUCAUCAUGCACAUAUACAUUCAGGUUAUACUCUCUCUUAUGAUCAUUUUGAUAUUUCUUGUGCUCUACUUCAAAUCUUAGUUUCUUUCACAACUUCGCAUGAGGAAUGAACAAGAAAAUAGAAAUAUGAAAUAGAAUCAUAGAAUCAUCUGUGGGGUAUUGUGCAGUUGAGGCAGAAACUGCAUGCUUACUGUAGGAGGCUUUCAGUAUUAAUUCCAAGAGACAUGAUUUGCGUUGCAGCUUGUCCAGACCUAAAGGAAACAACAGCAGGAAAAUCAUUGAAAAUGGGACAAGAAAAAAACACCAAUUAACAUGUAUUAGGGAGAAUUAUAAGACAUUAAGAGCAGCGAUCUAAAAAUAAAAAUAGAAAAUUGUUUUUAAAAAUCUCUAACACUGUUUGAUCACUAUUUCCGAAAAUAAUUUUUAAAAACAAAGUGAAAUAAAAAAUAAUUUUUAGCGAACAAGUAAAAGUUUUUACGUUGUUUUCAUCAUUUUUUAAAAACAAAAUAAAAAUAUGGGCUCUAUUUGAUCACACAUUCUGAAACUUGUUUUUAAAAACCAUUUUUAAGUUAAAAAAUAAAAAAUAGUUUUUAGAAACAAGUUUCAAAAAACAUGGUCAAACGGGCCCUAAAAAACCCAUUGCAAAAUUAAUCCAAUUUCAUUAUAUUUUAACCACAUAUGAACCAUAUAUAUUAAUUUUAAUUGUUCCUAAUACAGUUUGGUUAUAUCCUCUCAAUUUUUAAGUUCUAUUUUAUGUGACAACACUUUCAUUAUUGUAGUAUAAAUUAAAAUCAAUAUGAAAUCUAUAACAAGAUGCCAUAUAGUACAAGUAAGAGACUUGUUCUCUUCCUUGAUUGAGACCCACAAUAAGCUACUAGGUUACAUUGCAUGUUCCAUUAUCUAAAGCCUCAAUUGUUCAUCAACAAAGAUAAACAUGGUAUGUAAAGUUAAAGACAACAAUACCUAUAUUGGAAAGAUUCCCACAUCAACCCAUAGAAAGGAUGGAAUAAGGUUUUCUUAUUUACCUCAGCUUGUAUGCCAUGUCCAAAUGGGGUUGUUUCUUCAUUUCAACUGUGGCUAUUGGGUGAAAUUAGAGUUUCCAUAUACAAGGUCACCCGGUACCAAUAAUCACUUUGAGGAGCCACAAGAGCAAUAUUCUCUAAAGCUUCUGUUUUGGAAUUGUAAAUAGCUAAUUCCAGUUUAUUAACCAGCACUACAAUGUCACCAUCCUUUGUAUAAUCAAAUGGAACCACUUUAGUUAUGGGGGAAGGUGGAAGUCUGAUCAAUUUAGUCCAAGAAUGUUUUACUCCAUACUCUUUCAUUCUCCAUAUCUGGUGACUAUCAUCAACAUGAUGUUGGAUCAUGGAUAGGUCUCCUCCCAAGACCCCAAGAGUUGGACAGGAUCCAAUACAUGUUUCAUCUGGAAGUGGCACUUCCAUGAAUUUCUCCUCCUUCAAAUCAAAAGAGACAACUCUAUUACCAAGAUGCAUGCCAUCACCAUCAGAAACCUUAUCUGUUGCCCAAUGUAGAGCUGUAUUGACAAAAACACCUGAAUGCUGAGAAGGAUGAUAAGUAGGAAAUUCUUGAAUUCUUCUCCAAGAAUUGGUUUUCAGAGAAAAGAUUUCUAUCGUGGAUUUGACAGGACUAUAACUACCUCGAAACAACUUGUAGUCAUCAGUAGAGGAGUCAUAACCAAAUCCAUGGAGAAGAUAUCCAUAAAAAGCCCGUCCAGAGUGGAUCUCCCCAGGAUAUGGUAAUGUCUUGUGUUCUCUGAUAGAUGGAUUCAAUAAAUGAAAGGUAUUGAAUCCAUAAACCGAACAUAUUAUGCCAUUGCAUGAACCCACGAGUUGGCAACCGAUCGAACAAAAACCAAUACCAACACAUGCAUUAUCAUUCACCAGAGUGUAAAUAGAGGUAUUUAAUUCAAAAUCCAUACAUACCUUACCCUUACAAUAACCCACUAUUUGGCCACGCACAGAAGGAGAAACAGCAUCAACAGCUCUAUCAAUAUUAACGUAAAUAGAGACCAAGAGUCUUCUAUUGUCCAAGUAAUUCCCUUUAUCAAUGGCUCGAGUCCAGUGCAAUUUUGUGAACUUGGGGUCAGUGAUCAAAGAGAGCCAUUGCUUGCAAACACAUGUGAAUCGUAUUAGACUCUUGACAGGUAGUCUUAAGAGAAUUUCCACAAUGAUAUCCUGGGUAAGGCCAGUCAUUGAUCCUCCUCUUUCUCUCUUAUCAGCUUCUGUUGAUCCGACUAAAUGAAUAAUGCCAUCAAGACCGGAUGUAAAAGGCAACUAGUAAUUAAGGGUCACACAAGAAGAGGGUUUUAAACCAAUUAUUUUUAUAUGCAUGCUAUUAGUAUAGCCAGCCAGUUUAUCUAUGUGGAAGCCUAUGCUUUAGAGGUUUUUAGGCUAAUGGGUGGCACUUAAUCCUUGUUCAUUCCUGUCCCUGCUUUGAUGCACGUAAAGAACAACAGCAUGAUUAUGAUCAUUUCACAUCACAUCACAUCCUGAUCGAAAGGAAAAAGAAAAAGCUAACCGGUUAGCUGAGAACAAAAGAGCAGCAGAACUAAUAGCAAAACAGAACAUAUACUAAUCCUCCAGACAAUAGAUCCUACAAGUUUCCAAAUAAAUUAGGCCAAAAACUUACCUGCUCAUUUCUGCAGGAUCUUGUUCCACCUGAACAGUGUAAACAUCAUGUUAAAGCCUUUUGAAACCAGGUGGUUAAUUUGAUUUUCCAAAUGAGAAAAGGAAACCAGAAAGAUGGAUUACCUUAAAUCUCCAAAACCACCCAGCUAGACUAAUCAUUCUCUUUCUUUGAUUUUCUUUCUCCUCCUGCCACCUCGAUCUCUUCGUUUGGCUUUUGAGGGUUGAUUCUAGUCGGGUUCCUGAGGUUCCGAGGAAGGGUGUCGGAGGUGUGUUAGAACUAACAAAUCUUAAAAAGAAGCGUUUUAUUAAAUAAAUGGUGGGUAGCCCCCAUUGCCGGCUUCCAUCAAAAGUGAAAACUCCUAUAUUUUGUCAUUUCCUCCUUUUAAUUAUCUCCUUUUCUUUAAUAUUAUUUCUUCUUUAAUAAUAAUAAAAUAUUAGUAUUAUUAUUAUCAUUAUUUUGAAGUGAUAUUGUGAAUAAUUAUUUCUUGUUAAAAAUACUAUGAACAAUAUUUAUAUUAAACAUAUUAUCACAUAAAAAAUUAAUUAACCAUGAAAAGUCUCAUGUAGAUAUAGAUUGUAGGUGUGACCAAAUGAAUUUAUAUGACUAUAUAGAUAUAAUCGCAACCAAGAAAACUCAUUUUUAACUUGUGAGAAAUAUUAGAUUUAAAGUAAAUAACAUCUACAUAAAUAAGAACAAGUUAUAAAAAUACUAAAUUAUAAGAAUCAAUUAGUGUCAGGACAUAGAUGAAAAAAAAACUAAUCAUCAUCGUGCUUUUGGUAAAUUGUUACACAACAAAAACAUAAUUUUUAAGAAACAAAAAACCAUUUACUAAGUAUUUGUCCACUAAUUAUAUUUCUUUGAACUUUUAAAAAUGACUUUAGAACUUUGUCAACCACCUAAGUCAUGUUUGUUUUGAUUGUUUUUUGUUUUCAUUUUUAAAGAAAAUAGAAAUCAAAGCCAGUACCAAGAUGGUAUUUUUUUGGUUUUCUAGAAAAUUGAGCUCAAAAAGGGAAAAAGUGAAAAUAAUGAUUUGGUGUUUUAUAAAAAUCUUUUUAAGAAAAUUGGAAACGAUUUUCUAAAUGUUAAAAACCAUACAGAAAAGGAAUAAAAUGGUAUAUAUAUAUAAAAAAAAAAUUAUGAGACCCAUGAUAUAAAAAGAUUACAAAUAUUACAUACAUGACAGAAAUGUUAAUACUGCUAGACAUAGAUUUGGUUAAUUUUGAUUUUGAUGAUAACAAAACAAGAUUUAGAUCUAAUGGUUAUAUUUAAUUGUGAUAAGCAAGAAGAUCAUCUUAAAGUCAUCAAGGAAGAAAAUACAUAGAGCAAAAGAGGAAAUUAAGAAUAGUCAAGAAAAGUUUUAUCAAGUUUAUUAUUAUGAUAUUUUAUAUAAGAUAAUGGAUGCAUUAAGUUAGGAUUACAUAUUUUUGUUAAAACACCAAAACAUUCAUCCAUGAGUUUUUAAUUAAUUUUACACUUUUAUUUUUGGAUGAAAAUAUUUUUAAGGAGACCUAGUUAGCCUAGGAGACUACCUUGAACCUUAAGUUUUUUUAUAAAAAACUCUCAAGAUUUUUUAAAAACAUUGUUGACUUAAUCAAAGUGCAUUAGAAUUGAAUAUCUAUUAAAACUUUGUUAGAAGAUGGUUUAUAUUCAUAUGAGUCAGAUAAAGAAUGUCUUAGUCAUAAAGCAUGUAUGAACUUUUAAAAUAUUAAGUUAAAGCACAUGUGGAUGACUGAGCAAUCAUCCAGUUGUCAUGUGGACAAUCACGUAGUCAUCCACUUAUUCUAUUGUGGUUGUUUUAGCUACUAGACGUCAUGUGGACGCUCAUGUAGACAUCUAAAUAUGUUUUUUGACCUCCAUCGACUCUUUGCACCUCAUUAAAUGCUUCAACAACCAUUAUGUGGACAACCAUAUAAACAUCUUGUUUAGGGAGACUUAUUCCUAAUGGCUAGUUUGAUGUUUUAUCUCUUAUAUAAGUGUAGAUCAUCCAUUUUGUUAUAUUAGCACAUGUCCUAUUAUGUGUUCGUUUGGUACUUUACAAUAAUUCCACGGUGGCCCAUUAGACACCACCUUGGAGACUUUGGUUGAAGGACUCAUUUGACCCCAUUGUGAUUCUGGGCAGCCUUAAUUUAGAUUUAAGUUUUUUUUUUCCUUCUUUGUUAGGAUAACAUUUAGAUACACUUUGCUCAUUAGGCACCACCUUAGGUCCACUUAAGUACUCUAGGCCCAUUUAGAUGCACUUGACCUAUUAGGCACCCUCUUAGGCCCACUUAGACACCCUAAGCUCAUUUAGAUACACUUGACCUAUUAGGCACCACUUUAGGCCCACUUAAGUACUCUAGGCCUAUUAGACAUCACCUUAGACCCACUUAGGCACCUUACGCUCAUUUAGAUGCACUUAGCCUACUUAGGCUCAUCUAGACACACUCUACCCCACUUAAGUUGCCUUUCAGGUGAUUUUUGCAUGUUUGCAUAGCUGGUAUGGAUUGCAUUUUUGUGUGGUUUGUAUGGUUGCAUGGCAUUCUUGCAUGACUUACAUGAUACUGGAUUGCAUGAUAUUUAUUUUAUUUUUUUAAUGAUUUUUAUUUUAUAAUUUUCUAGAAUACCUUUUAUUCAUUUAUUAAAUCUAAUAAUUUUACGUUUCUGUAGGAAACUUACCAAAGGGGCUUGGCAUGGAAAAAGGAAACAAGGCACCAUGUGCAUGGAUGGAAUGAGAGCUUUGUUCAGGGCAGCAUGUAUAUGGAUGGAAUGAGAGUUUUGUUCAGAGAGGGAAUCAGUCUGGAAACUUACCAAAGGGGUUUGGCAUAGAAAAAGGAAACAAGGCAGCAUGUACAUGGAUGGAAUGAGAGCUUUGUUCAGGGCAGCAUGUAUAUGGAUGGAAUGAGAGUUUUGUUCAGAGAGGGAAUCGGUCUGGAAACUUACCAAAGGGGUUUGGCAUAGAAAAAGGAAAUAAGGCAGCAUGUAUAUGGAUGGAAUGAGAGCUUUGUUCAGGGGGGAAUCAGUCCGGUGAGCAUGAGGGUCAUUUUUCUUUCCGAAAGGAAAAUGACCAAAGCUGGUUUUGGCAAGUAAAAAGAAAAAUGAUGAGCGUGAAGAGAAAGGAGGCUAGGAGAUAUAGAAGAAGGGGGAUUUUCUCCAUAGGAGAAGAGGGCGUUUAUUGAUUUAUUCCUUUUGGAAGGGUGAUAGGGAGCACGGGGAGGAGAGAUACAGUCCAUACACUACUAGGAAAGAGAGGAGAUUCCAGGCUGCAAAAAACAAGGGAACGAGAAGGAGAAAAGAAAGGAGAACGGAGAAAGGGAGAAGACACUUUUCUGGACUGUGGAGGGAGAAAAGAAGAGAGAACAGAAGAAGAGUGCAGAACCUAGUUGGAAGCAGGGGAGGACCUCACUGGUCCUGGGAUUCUUGAGAGGGAUAUUCGUCAGCCUGCGUCUUCCUAAGAUAAGUUCUUCAUUUUAAAUCCAUGUUCCUUUCUACUUUUAUUCCAUUUGCAAUUAUUGAUAUUUGUUUGGAUGAUUGGAGUGGCCAUCAUUUUGGGUUCUUCAUGGAUUGCUUGCAGUUUAUGGACCCAUAACCAGAGCACAACUCGCCCCUGAAGAAUCUGGGAAGAGAAAAUCCAUAAAGACAAGCGUCCAUAGGAUUGGCAACUGCAAACCCAUCGAUAGAUAUGGGAUUUGAAGCCAAUCUGGGAAUUUUUCAGCAUCAUCUUAUGAAUACUUGAAUUUCUAUUGCGAAUUGGAACUGUUCCGGUUUUCAAGAGUGUGGUUUCUUUCGUGUUUGGGUUGACUGCAGUUUAGUUUGCCUUGGGGUUUGCGUGGAUCAAUAUGAUUCGCUCCAUCAUUGAUCAAGAAUGGGUGGCUUCUAUAUUAACAGUGUCAGAUUGAUUUCUUCUCCAAGAAUUGCACUACUCCACUACUCAUACCCCUCGCUUCAUGCACUCCAUAAGACAUUUGAAAUCCAUGCACAUAUCUAAGACUCUGUGCAACAAAUGUGAGACAGCAGCCGUCUGAUCUAGGGAGCCUGUAGGAAAUAAGGGGAAUUAUAGGCGUCGGUCUCUCCUCGUUCGUUUUCAAUGAUUCUCCAAUUCGUCUGUUGCUUAUUUAGAAGAGAGGUGUAGAUGGAGUUGCAAAUCAAGGUCGCCCAGGCUGUUCACGCCCUCAAUCAUGACUCUCAGUCCCGCAACCGCGUGGCUGCUAAUCAGUGGCUCGUCCAGUUCCAGCAGACAGACCUUGCUUGGGAUGUCGCCAUCUCCAUCCUCACUUCCGAUCAUCAUCGUCAUCAUCACCUCGUUCUUCAUUCACUGCUUACGGUUUCUGCUCUCAGUUUACUGUUCAGGACAGAAAUACAAUAAAUAGCAGCUCUCCUAGUGUUUGUGAUGGUUAUGUGGCAUUGUUUGUUCGGAUGUUUGGGCUAGAUAAUGAUCCUCUUGAUAGGGAACAGGCAAUAGUAGCAUUGUGGAAAAUAUUCACUUGGAGGAAAGUAGUAUAUUGAUGCCAUAAUGCAAUUCCGAGGCUGCUUAAAUCUCACAGUAAAUCUCCUUAAAUCAGGCUCCAGUUGUACUUGUGAAGCAGCUGCAGGCCUUCUUCGAGAAAUAUCUUCAAUUAAUCUAUACAGAGAGUCAGUAGCAGAAAGUGGGGCAAUAGAAGAGAUAACUGGUUUGUUGAGGCAUUCUUCCUUGACAUCUGAGGUGAAGGAGCAAAGUAUUUGUACUUUAUGGAAUCUGUCUGUAGAUGAAAAGCUCAGAAUGAAAAUUGCUAACACUGAUCUUCUGCCGCUAGCAAUCAAGUCCCUGGAGGAUGAGGAUAUUAAAGUGAAGGAGGCAGCUGGAGGGGUUUUGGUAAAUUUGGCACUAAGCAAAUCUCUUCACAGCAUCAUUGUUGAAGCAGGUGUUAUUCCAAAAUUGGCAAAGCUUUUAAGAAUUGAUGUAGAAACGCAUUGCUGGAACUUGCUAAGGAUGAAUAAAAUAGAAUUCUCAUCAUUGAGGAGGGUCUUGUCAUAGUGCCAAUGAUUGGUGCGGCUGCCUACAAGGCCAUGACACCAGGUUUGUACUCGUGGCCUUCUUUACCUGAUGGUACGAAGAUCGAACAGAGUUCCAAAGCUCCCUCAAAGUAUGGCUCCUCUUAAUUACUCCUUAGAUUCAAUAUUGAUGACAAGAAUGCCGAAAUAGAUAAAAGCAAGAUAAAUGCAGUAGUUGGGCGUACACAGCAACAGUUUCUUGCUCGUAUUGGGGCUAUAGAAGUGGAAGAUGAAAGAAAAUCCCAAUCUGUAUCCACAAGUCAGCAGUUUACACUUUUGCCAUGGAUGGAUGGUGUUGCUUGGUUAGUUCUGAUUCUUGGGCUUGAAGAUGAGUUGGCCAUUUCAAGAGCUGCAGAAUCAAUUUCUGAUGCAUCUAUUAAUGAGCAUAUGCGGAUCUCAUUCAAGGAAGCUGGAGCCGUGAAGCAUCUAGUUCGACUUUUAGACCAUAAUAAUGAUUCGGUCAGAUUUUCUGUAACUUGUGCUUUGGAAAGGUCAACAACAGCAUCUGCCAGCUAAUUGAAUCUGAAGGUGUUAUGUAUCCUUUACUUAAUGCUCUGAAGCACUCAGGGACAUCUGAAACUUUGAUGGAAAAGACUUUGGAUAUUUUGGCACGGAUUUUAGACCCUGGUAAAGAAAUGAAAUCAAAGUUUUAUGAUGGACCAGUUAAUGGAUCAAAGAAGGGAUUGAAUGCAAUGGGAAGCCCUGAUGCCACUAUUUGAUUUGUUGGAAACAUGGACGAGACAGCUGUAUCAGAAUCAACUACAGGGAAAGAUGUCAUGGACUCUGCUGUCAUUACUCGCCUUAUUGAAAUUUUAAAGACCCAAUCCCCAAAUUUGCAGAGAAAAGCACCUUCCAUCCUUGAGUUCCUGACAAUUAUUGAGCAACACUUGGACACAAUCCUUUCAGUAGACAUUGAAUCUGGUUUGGAAGCUGUUUUCCAACAGAAGAUUUUGGACUAUACAGAAUCUGAUACGGAUGAUCUGGAGCUUACAUUCAGGAGUGGGAAAACUUGUGGUUAAGGUUUGUAUAGGAUUUAGUCUGGUAAUAUAAGAACAAGAGGAAAGCAAUCCGGCGGAUCAUCAACCAUUUGGUGACUCAUUGACAUGCAUGGAGAACGUCUUUAGAUUAGAAAAGACUGCAGAGUUUUGGCUCUCCAUGACUCCAUUUUCAUCAUUGGAAACCAGUCCAUAAGAAAGUGAAAAGCAUAUCAGAACUCCAGCUUUCCAGUGUGUAGAAAAGGACAGAAUGGCAGAUGCAGUCGCUGAAGAAAUGUUGAUUCAAAUUGAAUUCUGCUUAAUACAGGAUCGGGCAGCCCACUGUCAAUCCCAUGAAAAACUGGGAUGUAUCCUUAAGAAAUAAGCCACGCAUUGGGGAAAGUGGGGCUGCAGAUUUGAUUCCAAAAAGGUGCAGCUGCACCAUGGCAUUGCAUAUAGACAUAGCCGGCUCCACUCCUUUGGCCACAUUGGUGCAUACCUCUUCCUCUAUUUGUUUCUUUGAUUGAGAAUUUACAGUUUUAAAUUGAAUUUUCAAAUCCUUUUCAAUUGAAUAAUUCUAACUUUAAAAAUCCAUCUCUAGAUUUCUUCUAAGCAAUAAGAAUCCUCAUUUUCAAUUUAUUUUUUGCUGCCAAAUUUCUUUCCCACAUGCAUUUUUUAUUUUAUUUUAUUUCUUUCUUUUUUCAUGAUUUUGUUGAUUUUUAACAAGCAUGAACAAACUUCAUGUAUCCAAACAAUGGAAUUCAUAAAAUCAACUCAUGCAAAAUUAAUUAGGGCUUUGGAGGGGGCUCAACAUUCAUGAUUUUCUCUUCAAUAUUGUUUGUUCGAUAUCUUUGAUUGUGCUUCCUCUUUGUGGUACAUGAGAUGAUUUUACACCUAUCAUUGAGCCAACCUUGUUCCUCAUUUUAGCGCUUAACUUGCUACCCAGGUACGCCUUCUAUCACCACUUUCUAAAUUUUGUGAAUAUGUUUGUCACUGUGAACUACAUCUAUGUUUGAUAGCACUUGGAUGUCUUGAUAUUUGUUUCAUUGUUCAAUUAUUUUUUAUAAAGUGCUUGUUGAAUGAUAUACUAUUUGAACUAACUUUGAUGUUUUUGUGAUAACGCUUAAGAAGCAGUCCAGGUACACACCUUAAAUCUUUUUUAUGAUUUGUGAUUGGUUUUCUUGUUUGGCAUGCUAUUUUUUGAAAUCACCUAGCCAACCUAGGUAUCUAUAAUAAACUAAUUAAUUACCCUAUUUCCCUCAACUUAGUUAAUAGAGACCUUUGUAGGGCUUAGAAGAGUACUACCUUUUAGAGGUACCUUCCCAAUAGGUAACUUGAUCCCCGGACCUAGACUCGGGUUUUUCAAAAACACGCUUUUCCAAAAAUUAUGGAGUCGCUUCUUUAGGGUUUUAUUUCUUAUUUUAUUUUUCCUUUAAAAAAAAUAAAAUAAGUGGCGACUCCAACUUUUCAAAAACUAAUUUUUUUACCAAAUAAAAGUGAGUCUCGCAACUGAGUAGGGGUGCAUGUGAAAAUGCGGGUCCACAAUAAGACCCUAUACUUAAUUUAUAAAAGAUAUAAUAUUUUCAAAGUACUAUUCAAUCAUCUCUUAAGCCUUAGGAAAAAAUUUCGAGUGCAUUGAGUUUAAAACUUGCAUUUCAUUUUGGUACAUCUUUUAAUCCUAGUUUCUAUGCAUUCAUUUGUGCCAAAUUUGUAAACUAAGAGUUUAUCUUUGUAAAAUCAAAAUUAUAAACCUUAUGAAGGUGAGCUCAAGUGUGGUGUAUCACUAAGAUAUUACUUUAAAAAAUUUAAAUGUGGGGUAUCACUUAAAAGGAAAAAAUUUAUGUAAGUUAUCACUUAGGAUUUGUCAAGUAUAAGGUAUCACUUGGGAACUUCAAGAGUGAGACAUCUCUAGAGAAAAAUUAUAAGGCUACGUUUGGUUAACAUGAUAAAAUAGGAUAGGAUAUGUAUAUUUUAAGAUAUCAUAUCUCAUUGGAUAUGAAAUAUAUAUUUUAGGAUAUGAUUUCCAAUUAUAUUAUAUAUCAUUUGAUAUAUGUAUCCUAUGAACAUAAUAUUAUAAGGUAGUAUAUCAAUGAGAUAUGUUAUGUUAAAUUACGUUUAUAUUUAAUUUAUGAAACGAAUAAAAAAUAAUAUAAAAUAUGUAUUCUUUUUAAUGUUUAAAAUAAAAUUAUAUCACUUUCUAAUAUUUUUUAUUUAAAACAAUGAAAUUUCUCUUAUAUCUAAAAAUAUUUAUGAUUAAAAUAUUUAAACCUUAUAAAUAAAAGUUUUUAUAUUGUAUUAUUCAAUAUAUAAAAAUAAUUUAUAUAUCAUAUAUUAAUAUUAUUUUAUAAAUAUUUUUAAAUUUUCUUUUUUAACCAUAAAUUUAAUUUAAAAUAAAAUAAAUUAUUUUACAAAAUGAGUAUAUAAAAAAAAUGAUAAAAAUAAAUAAAUUUGUGACAUAUAGGAUAUGUAUAUCACAUAUCUUACCAUGAAAUUAACAUAGCUUAUGUUGAAGGGAUAAAAAAAAUGUAGAUAAUAUAUAAAAAAAGGUAAAUAACAUACCCCACCACUUAUUCUAUCUCAUAUUUGGUUAAACAUUGGAUAAGAUAAAUGAUGACAUAAUUUAUCUUAUCCCAUCACUAACUAAGCAUGAAAUAGAGUUUAAUAUUCUCUCUCUUAUCCUAUCUCUUACUAUAUCGAACUAACCAAAUAUGACUUAAGUGUUUAUUGGAGUUGGUUAAUUAAAUCCGUGUUAAAUAUAGGGGUGCAACUUGGGUGGGAACUAACCCAAAUCAAACUUGACUAUUAGACAAGGUUGGGUAAUCAUUUUUAAUAUCUUAAUUGAAUUUGUAUUAAGUUUUUUCCAACUCCAACUUAAUUUGUAUUAGACUUAGACCUAGUUUGGACAAUUGAACAUAACCCAAAUCGGAUUUAAUAUGUUGGUAAUAUUUACCUCAUAUUAUCUAAUAUAUAUAAUCAAAUAUUAUCUUCAAAUAUCUUAUAGAUAUUGUGUUUCUUUAUUAAACUAUGGAUUAUAAGGGGAUACAUUGUUAUAUUAGAAUAAUUUAUUUGAUAAUUAUUAAAUAUAUUAGAAUAGGUUAAUAAACCAUUUUAAAAUAAAAGAUAUUGGGCAAUUAUUAUUAAUAUUUGGAUUGGGUUUGAUUAGGUUUUUCCAACCCUAACUCAAUUUGGAUUAAACUUGGACCAAGGUUAGGAAAACCCAAACAUAACCCAAACCUUAUUUAGUAUGUUGUGAUAUUUGUAAUUUAUAUUCACCUAUAUAAUCGUUUUCAAUUUAUUUAUGUUUUUUAUAAUUUUAAGAAAAAUAUCAUAUUAUAACUAUAUCAUAUACUUUUUCUUUUUUCUUAAAAGAUAUAUAAUUUAAUUUUACUCUUUUUCAAUUAUUUUAAAUUUUAUUUCGUUUAUUAUUUAAAUAUUGAUAUAAAUAUAUAGAAAAAAAAUAUAAUCCAACCAACUCGAAAGAGAGAUUGGAUUGAAUUCCGAUUGAGUACCUUAAGUUGCAAUUGUAGUUAUAUAAAAUUUUACUCAAAUUUCUUUCCACCAUUUUUUUUUUUUUUUUUUGUUAAUGAAAACUCAACCAAACAAGAUUUUACAAAUUUCACUUUCUAAAAGCAUUUUUUGCUUUUUUAAGAUAGACGAAUUUAAAAGAAAUAAAAAUUGUUUAUAAAAAAAUGAAAACUAUAAAAUGUUUACCAAACUUUAGUAAGGAAACUGUUUCAAAGUAUUAGGAGCAAUGCAUUCUGCCCAUCCCAAAAUCACUUCCUAACACUCCAUUUGAUAGUGAUUCUAGGAAGUACUUUGAACUUAAAAGUGAUUUUGAAAAAUCAGUUGUAAUAUUGAAAAAUCACUUAUAGUGUUUUCUAAAGAAACACUUCAUAAAUGAUUCACCUUAAAACAUUUCUUAAGAAAACACUUCGAAUAGAAACACUCUCAAACACACUCUUAAGAGUUCGUUAAGAAUAAUUUUAGGAAGUGUUUUUAGCUUAAAAAAUGUUUAUAAAAAAUAAUAGAUGUUUGGUGAAAUUUAGGAAACACUUUUAAAAUUCUGAAAAAUCACUUUGAUAUAUAUAUAUUUGUAAACACUUGAUGGAUGAUUUUCCAAAAACCACUUUAUGAUAAAACACUUACACUAUAAAUAUUUUAGGAAGAAACACUAUCAAACAUACUCUGAUAUAACUAUCACUAAAGAAACACCUGGCAUGAAAGAAGGAAAGGAAGAUUAAUGACCAAGAGAAAUGCAUGUUGGCGAGCACAUUAUUACAACUGUUAAAGUAUUAAUUCGAUGAAUUAAUGGUGAUGUCUUUACAUCUUGCUCCAUUAUCUGCAAGCACAGAGAAGAAGAGAGAAGAAAAAUUACAAGUCCAUUCACAUGGUAGAAUGGGAAGUGAAGAAGAAAUAGUCAUGGUGAUCAGCUCUGAGUUGCUUCAGCCAGGAAUCUGCAGCACAAUGAAGGUAAACCAUCUUCUCAUGAUCAGAAGUCUGUGGCUUUAUCCAAAGGUUGCCUUGCAUCUUGUAUGUAGCCAAGCCAAAGGGAUGAAGGGAAACCCUGCUACUCCUCUCUCCCUUAGAUUCCCCUUCUCUGCAAAAACUGCUUUUCCUUUUGUCGCCAUCAUCAUCCACAUCCACUACAACAUCUAUGGGAUCAAAUAAUUAUAGUUAUAGGUUAUAACAUGUGUCAUAUACUUACCCAAUUCAUAUUCUUAAUCUUACUUUAGUAGACAAUUAGUAUUAAUUAUCCUUGUAUUGAUUAUGCAAAUACCUUGGAAAGAUGAAGACAACGUAUGGUAUGUGAGGAAGCAUGUGGACAAGUCCUUCACAUUUCUCCCCAGUGGAAUAUGAUAAAUAGGAUACCUAAUGAAUAUUCAACCCAGAAAGAUAAUGCCUUCAUGUUGUUAAUAACUUCAAAGAUAAACGUUUCAACAAUACCAGUUAUAAGAAAAAGAAUAAAUUCACUCAACUAAAGACAUGCCUUUGACAUCUCAUAUAGUAGGUCACUCACAAAUUUUCAUAGGGCCAUGCUUGCUUGGGUGAAAGUACUAUUGAUAGAGAAAAAAAUACAAUAAAUAAAUAAAUAAAUAAAAAUUUUCAUGUUUGGUUUUAUUGUGAAAAAUACAAAAGAAAGUCAAAAAUAUAAUUAAAAUAAACAAGAAAUUUAUAGACACACACAUAUAUAUAUAUAUAUAUAUAUAUAUAUAUAUAUAUCAAAGUUACAUAAGUAAAAUGAAUUUGAAAUAAGAUAUGAAAAUAAUUUAUUGAUUUUAAAUCUAUUUUUUAUUUUUUUCAUUUUUUUUCUUCUAUUUUUUUUUUUUUUUCGUUUUCUUUUCCUCAAACUUUCUAGAACCAAAUAUAAUCUAAAUAAUUUUUAAAUUCUCUUAUUUGAUUAAAUCGCUUUACCCCAUGAUUGGUAUUAACCCUUGAUUUUAACUCUUUAUUUCAAGGUUUCUCUUCACCAAACAAAAACACCAAUAUCAUCACAAAAUUCUACUAAUUUUCUAAAAAUUUGAUUACAUUAAUAACAUGAUUAUAAGCGUGUUUGACAAGAUUUUAAGAGAACACUUCUAGUAAAAGUACUUUUGAAGAACAACCAGACAUUUGACAAAUUUGAAAAAUCACUUUUAAAAAAUUGAAAAAAUCAUUUAUAAUGUUUCUAAAUAAGCAUUUGAUAUACAUUUCUCCUAAAAAUAUUCUUAAAGCAAAUAUUUUUACUAAAAAUGCUUCGAAUAAAAAUAUUGUAAAUGUACUGUGUAUCCUUACCAAGCUACAGCCAUCCAACUAGCUGGAGAGAGAUCCACACUCUUCAAUGUCAUCAAUGCAGGAUAAUUCUUACUUAGUUCAACUAUCUGAAACCAAACACAUGGAGUCAACAUCACAUUCUUCUCACAACUCAAAAAUAAAUACCAUAUCCAGACCUACAUUUUUUUUUACUGAAAAAUAGAAUGAAUUAAGGAACUUAAACACAUAAUAACCACCUUGUCCAUGAGUGGGAUCCUCCAGUAAGGAGAGGACAUCUCAUUAUGCUGCAAGUAAAGGUAGCCAAGGUGAUUUUUCAUAGACAAGGAACCCUCAGGGUCAGAAGUCAAAUCAUCAGAAAUGGUGUCCCAAGUUUUGCUUGAGUUGUUGCUUAGAGAUCUUGACAAUUUAUCAUUCUCACUAUCAUCACUCCAACAAUCACUCUCAGGAUCUGCAGUGUCACUGUCCUCCUUUGGAGUCCUACAUCAAAACAGUCAAAAAAAAAAAAAAAUUGCCAUUUUUACCACGGAUUCAUCAAAAAGGGUAAUGGAACAUGGAGAUCAAGAACAUGAUUAAUAUCUUAUAGACCUGGGAGUGGCCAGAGAUUUGCUGGUGUAAAUAUGAAUAGCAGAUAGAUAAGGAACAUAGUAUUGCAUAAUGUUUUCUCCACCAUCCAACUUGAGUGGGAUUCCAAUCCCAUAUGCACUCCAUUCAUCAUAGCAAUCCCAAAGAUCUGCCAAAGUGAAGUAGUCAAUUUUAUCCUGGCCAGGUAGUCUCCAUCUGUUGUUUAAAUCUUGAACACAAUCCUGCAUAAAUGGAUAUUUCUUUUUCCCUUGAGCAAAGCAAGAAAGAAAAGUAAUUGGACUUAAGACUGUUAAACAUUGGAACAAGGUACAAGUAUUACAAAUGCAAGAAGGAAAACGCAAAAAAAUACUAUGGAUAUAUUUGUUCGUACUAAGAAAAGAAAAAAAAAUAUUAAGAAAAAUAAUUUCCUCAUAUUUGAUUUCUUUAAAAAAAAUUAAAAAUAAUAUUAAAUAUGAUUAAAACUAAUUUAAAAUUUAUAUAUUUUCAAAUUAUUUAAUUUUUAUGUAUAAGAAAAGAAACAUGUGAAAUGAGUUUAAAUUAGCAUGUAAAAUAAUUUAUUGAUUUUCAAUCCAUCUUUUAUUUUUCUUAUUUCUUUCCUUCUACGUUUCCUUUUUGUUUUCUUUCCCUCCUUAACUUUUCUAAGAACCAAACAUAGCUUAUAUAUAUUUUUUCUUUUUCAUGUACAUAGAUUAAUUACAUUUUGAGUCCAUUGGACGGUGAUUCUAUAAAACACUUUUAGUUUAAAAAAUGCUUUUGAAAAAAAAGUUAAGUAUUUGAUAAAAUUUAAAAAAAAAAAAAACAGUUUCAAAAAUCAGAAAAAAUGAGUUAUAGUGUUUUUUAGAUAAAUAUUUGAUAAGUAAUUUUUCUAAGAACAUUUUUAGAGAAAACACUUUUAUUAUACUUCGAGUAGAAACACUAUCAAACUCUUCAUUUCUCAUGAUUGUAGACCUUAAUAUUUUAGGUUACCUGAGAAAGGGAUUGUGAAGGAACAAUUGGAGUUACUCCAUUAAGAAAGCAUUCAAGAUUUGAAUGCCAGGUUGUAAGAGAAUCCAUUAAUCCCUGCAACAAAAUCAUCACACCAUGAUAUAACCAAACAGAUGGUAUAAAUAUCAAACUUGGUUAAGAGGAAUAGAAUCUUGUACAUAUCAUCAACUUCCAUUAAUAAAUUAUAAAAAUAUGUUAUUAACAGUCUAUUUGAUAAUAAUUUUAAAAAAUAUUUUUAGUCUUUUUAAUAUUUGAAAAAUAAAAAAUUUCUAAUAUUAAAAAGGUUUGUACAAAAAUUCUUUCCUUGAAAUUGAAUUAAGUGGAAAAGGCAGAUUUCAACUAUUGCAUUAUGUGAAUUAUAUGUCAUGCUACAACAUCUAUUAAAGAAGCUGGUGAAGAGACAAAUUAAAUUAUUUCAAAAAUAUGAGGGAGAAGUUGGAAAAAUAAUUGAAACGAUAAAAUCAAGUACAGAAAAAUUCUAGAGAGAGGGUGAUAAAAAUUUGAGACAGAAAAAAGAAGGAUAUCUCAAGUAAUUUCCAAAAGGAGCAACUUAUUAGUAUUUCCAAGAUUUUGCUAUAAAUUCUUAGAAUAACCAAGCAUAUGCAGAUCUCCCCAAAGUUAUUGUCAUCUUUUUUUCUCAACAAACUAGCAGAGAGAGAGAGAGAGAGAGAGAUUUGAUCUCCCCAAAGUUAAUGUCAUCUUUUUUUCCUCAACAAACUAGCAAAGAAAAGAGAGAGAGAGAGAGAGAGAGAGAGAGGAAGAAGAGUCAAUGUUGUUUCUGAGAAACCUUCAAUUGCAAAAACUGAAGAUACAUCAUGACCUUAGAAACCCAUAUAAGGUUGAGAAUAAGUGAUCAUGCCAAAUAGAAAAACAAUGUUAUAUCAAUAGGAUCUUUGGGCUAUAUGGAAAACACAAAACUAACCUUUGUGUUUGGCUUUGAAUUGACUCUUGCAAUGGCAGAUGAGCCUCGUUAAUAUAGCAGAUGGGUCUGGUGAAAAGGAAAAACAAUGGAAAUAUAGAAAAUCUAAAGAUAAAGACGACAGAGAAAAGAAGAAAGAGAAACUAAAGAAAUUUUCUUACAUGGUGAUUACCCUGCAUUCAAUAUGGUCUGCAGAGAAAGAAGAAGAUCACUUUAUUACUAUAAAGAAGAGUAAUUUGUUUUCUUAGAUUUUCUCUUUUAAUAAGGAAAAAAGGAGAUUCUCUGGAUUUUUUUUUUGUAGGAAAAAAAGGGAAUUUGAAAUUUUUUCCCUUUUUGCUUUGGAGUCAUUCGACAUAUUCGUUAACAUAUUAUAUCCUCUUCUUUGCCUUUCUCAGACUUGAUAUCCAUUAGGAUAUGUUUGGAUCUCAGGAAACAAACAAACAAAUUAGAAAAACGAAAAAAAAAAUAAAAAAAGAAACCAAAGAAACUGUCCAUUGAUUAAAAGAAACAUGACAAGUGAAAUAUAGUAGAGAUCGAUUUUGAAUUGAAUUAAUAUCUUGAAAAAUCAAUGCUUUCUCUGAGUGCCCAUGGCCAGUGGAUCAGUUUCAGUUUCUUUGAUGACCUGAAGUUUGUUCUGAAUCGUUACCUGCAUGGUUCUUGAAUUUGGUAUUGAUUGCGAGGGUGUUAAAUUUGUAAAUAAAUUCUGAGUGUUAUAACUUCACAGUUAUUAAUUUCAUGCUCCAGAGAGGUUUAAAUUCAUUAAGAAAAAUGAUAAAUGACUUCAGGUAUCAUUGAGACCUGCUCUGCAUGCAUGGUUGAUUGGAGGGACAGAAACAAUAUUCAUUUUGCUCAGCCAGAUAUUAUUUCCAACGUACUGCUCACGCACUUGGAAUAUGCAUGCAUGGCGGUAGCGAUGGAAGCAGGGUGGAAGGGUGUACAGCAGCGGCAGUGGUACCGGUGGUUGUGCAUGGUGGCGGUGGCGGCACCAGGUGAGGUGAGGAUGGUGGUGGUGGAGGUGAAAGGGAUGAGAAGGAUGGUGCAUUUCGGCUAGGGUUAAACUAUACAUGGGACAUUAAUAAACUAUAAAAGUAUCUAAUAUUAUUUAUCUAUACAUUCAAUAUACCAAAAUUCCUAGUUUUUACUUCUACCAAAGUUAAUUAAUUAACAAAGUGCUACACCAAUAUUCCAACAUCCAAGUUCCAAAUUUCUAAGUAUCUAACCAAUAAAAUGAACAAAAAAACUAUUAGAUCAAUUUGUAUGUGCAACCAUAAUUACAUAUUUGAAUGAACAUAGAUUACAUAUAAACAAAACAAAACAAAACAAAAAUAAAAUAAAAUUGCAAAAGUUAAAGGCUCUCUUAGGAAGUGUUUUCAAAAACAAUUUUAAAAAUUAUUAGAGUUUUUUUUAAAAUUAUUUUCUAAUGUUUUGUAAAACAAAAGCCUAUUUACAAAUUUAAAAUGUUCUUAACUUGUUUUAUAUAUUUUAAAUAUUUUUAAAAAAAUAAUUUUUAUUUUCUAUCAUUCUUCAUCUUUAUAUAAUUUUUUUUUAAAACAAUCUUAAAAAAAAAACGUGAAAACAACUCAAAUAUAUUCUAAAAAAAAUACAAUUUCUUAUGUUUUCUAGUUGUCAACUAUGUUUUUUGGGUUUUUUGUUUCAAGAGAACAUGAAACUAUUUUCAAAACUAGUUAGCAACAAAGACAUGAUAUUCUUUAUUAAUCAUCCUCAAUAAUCAAGAUCUAUAUAUAUCGAUACCAUCCUUAACAUCUCAUGAGAUCAUAUUAUUGCUAACAUAUUCUUCUUCCUCAUUGUCCUCAAUUUCAUUAACCAUUUUCAAUAUAAUUAUUUUCUUCAACUUGAAUAAUUAUAUUGUGGUGGAUUUUAGAGAAAGAAUUUGCUAGUAAGUUAGAUUAGCUGGAUAUAGGUUGGCAAUCUUGUUCUAAACAUUAAUGGUCCAGAACUAGCUAUGUGCUUCCAUUGGACUUUUGGGCUUUGAAGAUUCAGGUUAAGACAACUUAGCUUAGCAAUAUAAAAAGUACAUAGGCAUGCAAACAUUAAUUUUUGAAAGAUGAGUAGUAAAUAAAAAGUACAUAGGCAUGCAAACAUUAAUUUUUGAAAGAUGAGUAGUACAUUAAGCAAAAAAAAAAAAGCUACAAAAUAAUAAGAGGGCUCAAGCACUCACUGUGAAAAUUUGUUUUUUGUUUUUUUGGUAAUUUUGAAAAUUAUAGAAAUCUAUUUUGUGUAUGCAUUACUUAGACCGAGCUACUGAGCUUUUUACUCUAUAAAUAUGCCUAUUUGUGUUUAAAAUUCUCACACAUUUAUAAUUUCACACGAUCAUUAUCCUAUCAAAACAUUCCCAAACUAUUAAAGUCGAUUUCUUAUUCAAGAAGAGCUUAUAGUUGACUACAUUUCCAUUAAAGAGUUGAGAUGUCUAUUAAGGAGUUUGAGGUGAGUGUGAAAGCUGAGUGUAGUUGCUAACUAAAGCAAGUCUAUAGGGAGAAUGUAGCAUUUGGAAUUGGGUCUAGGCAAAACUAUAUACUUGCUUUUUAUAAUUAAUAGAUUUGAUCUAUGAUUGACUAAACCCAUGAUUUUUACAAUUGUAGGGUUUUUGUGAGACUCUAUAAAAAGAAUAUCAAUAAUUGUGAAAAACCUAAUUUUUGGGUCUAAAUAAUCUGAUUAUCGAUUGAUACCCCUGUCCUACUCCAAGGCAGUUUUAGAAAUCAAGAACAACAAACUUUCAUUGGUAUUAGAGUAUGUUAAAUUCAAAAAUAAUUUUCUUUUAUUCUUAUUUAUUUUCUUCAUUCAUGAAACUACAACAAAUGAGAUCAUCUAUUAAUAAUAUUCCCUCCUUUGAUGGAAACAAUUGUCCUCAUUAGAAAGCUUAUAUGGAUUUUUUUUGUCUUUCUUAAAAAAACAUGAGGUAAAUAAGUUUGGGAAUUUGGACAGGGACCUCCAUUAAAGAUGGAUGUUGUUGAGACAUCAAUUGGUGAAUUUAAUUCCAAAUAUGAAUGGGACAAACUUGAUAAGAAAUAAAGUGAAGCAAAUGUUAGAGCUCUUUAUAACAUUUCUAAUGGUGUGAGUCCCCAUGAAUUUCACAUGACAGCAACAUUUAAAUGUGCUAAAGAGACUUAGGUGGUGUUUGUUUUUUGGCUGAAUAAAAAAAGUCAAAUAUUUUGGCUUUUUCUAUUAAGCUAAGAAUAACAUAUUAAUAUCAUCCAACAUAGAGCAAUCGAUCCUAUUACCAAUCAUUCUUCAUAAACUUUCUCCCAUGCAAGAUUAGUCUUACUUGGGGGGGAUUGGUAAUUGGUAAUUGAAUCNNNNNNNNNNNNNNNNNNNNNNNNNNNNNNNNNNNNNNNNNNNNNNNNNNNNNNNNNNNNNNNNNNNNNNNNNNNNNNNNNNNNNNNNNNNNNNNNNNNNUAUCAAUAAGUUUAAUUUAAUUAUAUUGGAUAAUAUCAAUAGGUUACUUUUAGCUGAAUAGAAAAAGCCAAAAUAUUUGGCUUUUUCUAUUCAGCCAAAAAACAAACACCACCUUAGAAUAUUCAAUUUGUUACGCACGAGAGUACUUCAAUUGUAUCCAAAUACUAACUACUAAGUUCAUAAGAAUGUAAGUAGAUGAGAACUUUUCUUAUUUAUAUGUUAAAUUAAAUAAUAUAGUCAAAUCAAAUUUCAAUAUGGUUGAUGAGAACUCAAUCUCGAUACUUUAAAAAGUAUAUUUUAGUGUGUUUGAGGUACUCAGUAAUCCCAGUGUUACUUUUUGCUACUAGUAUCUUACGAAAAUUAUUUUGAUGUGUAAGGUAUUUUUAAUGUAGUUCCAACAAUUCACAAAGCAUGAAGAACCUAAGUGAGGAAAGUGCACCUCUAGGCAAGAAGAUCCCUCAAUUUAAGGUGGGUAGAAAAAUCCAUAAAUCCAUUCCUUAGAGAUUUAAACUUAAGGUGACUAUCAUAGAAGAAAUUAACCAAAGACAUUGACUCUGAAAGUUGAAGAACUUCCUAGGUCUCUUCAAACCUAUGAGAACCUAAUUCAAAGAAGCUUAAGGAAGCAACUCUAAAAGUUUCUACAAAUGAUAGUAACGAGUCUAAAUAACCAAAUAAAUAAUGUUUUGACUCUUUUUUUUUUUAAUCAUCUUUCCUUAUUUACUAAGAAAUUUAAGCAAAUAAUAAAAGUUCACAAAAAUAUCUUGAAAAAUCAGCCUCAAAGAAGGGAAAAUGAUUAAAAGUAAGCAAAUAAAAAGAAAAACAUCCAUCUAAGAAUCAAAAAAUUGAAUAUUUAACUGUAUUGGAAUAGAGCAUAUGGCAUUUGAUUACCCAAUUAAGUCCUAAAAAAAGUAUUAAAAAAACGAUACAAGUGAUUUGGAGUGACACCAAAUCUGAAGAUUGUAAGUCAGAUGACUAAAAUGAAAAUCAAAGAUGACUCUAACUCAGUUGCAGUUUUACUUCCCUAACUGAUUAAGAAUAUGAUCCUCUAAGUGAAAAUCAAUCAAAAUUGAUUUUUAUGAUACACAUGUUGUCUACGAUGCCUUUUAUGAAGAAAGAUUGAAAAUUAACACUAGAAGUGUCAAAAUGAGUAGGAAAUCAUUAAAAACUAAAGAACUUUAUGAUAUUUUAUACUUUAUAAUAUUUUAAAUUUUGAAAAUGAUGCCCUACUUAAUAAAAUUGACACUCUAGAAUCUAAUAAAAACUACUUGCUUGGUAAAGUGAUAGUUCAUAGAUUGAACAUAAUAUCAUUCUUGAUAAAAAUAAGUCUUUAUCACUUGAAAUGGACAAGACGAGAAAGGACGUGGCUAGAACUAGCAAAAGACUUCAUUUGGGGUUAAAGAUCUUAAAAGAAAUUAUUAGCAAAGGGAAAUCAGACAAUAAUAAGUGUGGACUUAGCUAUAUAAGUAAGGUUAAGACUCCCAUUAGUAUGAAAACAACUUUUGUAAUGCCAAGGAGGUUGCUCUAUCUAUGGAGGCAUCCUCUACUGCUACUUUCUUCUACAGUAUUUGAAAUAGGUUAGACAUGAGCAUAGUAAAUCUUACCAUAAUCUCUUUAAUAGGUUUCAAGUACCCCAUGUAAAUAGAUUACUGAAUGAUUUAACUUGAGCAUAUCCUAGAAAGCAUCUAAGAUGUUUUUCCCUAAGCUAGGACUCUCAUACCAAUUGUUGGAAUAUUUGGAUUACUCCAUCCCAACUCUUAGAUCGUUGGGGAGCAUACUACUAUAAUCCUAGGGAUGAUACUACACUAUAACCCUUGGAUCAAGUAAACUAAAAGUUAUUUGUUAGCACAAAUGUUAGAUUUCUAGAAGAAGACUAUAUGAUAAGUAAUAAUGCAACAACAUAAAAAAUAUGGAUCUAGAGGUUCAAGAAUCAUUCAUUCCCAAUACUUCUAGUUAUAAGAGCCUUGUCAUAGUGGGAGGGUUAUUAUAUAAUCAAAUAGGUUCAUGUAUUUAGGAGAGUCUUUUGAGGCAAUUCUAAAGGAACAUGAGAUGAAUCCCACAAAUUGCGAAAAAGUUAUGAGUAAUGUUGAAGUUCAUCUAUGACGGAGACAAAAUUAGAAUCUAUAUAUUCUAACAAAGUCUAGGAUCUUGUAGAGGCACUUAAAGGAAUAAAACUCAUAUAGUGCAAGUAGAUCUAUAAGAGAAAGAGAAGAGUAGAUGGAAAGAUUGAGACAUAUAAGGUUAGGUUUAUAGCUAAAGGUUAUAGUUAGAAACCUAGUUUCGACUAUGAGGAAACCUUUUUGUGAAAUGAGUGUGUGGAAAUGUGGCAGCCAUGAGGAGUUUGUGUAGUGGAUAAUUAUGAAACCAUGUUUUCUGAAACUAAAGAAUGAAAAACCAAUUUCUUUGUAAUAAGUGUUUUGAAAUGCCUUUUUUUUUCUUUCAUCGUAUUGUGUAGUUAAGCUCAUUUCCAAAAGAUUAUUAAGUGUUGGUAAUUAUUAUUAUUAUUUAAUAAAGUCAAAAUGGAACAUUUCCUUGAAUAGAAUUGUAUUAAAUCAUUUGUUUUCUAAUAAAAGUAACAAAUUAUUUUCUUGUAAAUAAAAUUUUUAAAAGUAUUUUUGGCAAAUGGAAUUAAAGCAUUUUUUAUUUAAAUUAAUUGAAACUUUCUUUUAUAAAUAAAAUUCGUUAAAGCUAUUGAAUUGGAAAUCAACUUUUUUUACAUAAAUAAACACUCGUGAAAUCUUUCGAUAAUGUGUCACAUUAUGGAAGUCAAACUACUUUUCUAGACAAUUUAAUAAUUCAAUCACCUUAGUGCAUAGUUGUGAGUUUUUUUAAUAUUGAUUUGUGAUAUAGAUAUAUUAUACACUUUAUUUGAACAUCCUUUAGAUAAAAAAAAAUUCUUUUUUUGAUAUAUUAUAUACCUUAUGAGUUCUUUUACCUUAUUUCUUUGUAUUCAUUUAUGAUCAUUAUUUGUUUCUUGAUAUGUGCUCUAUAUAUUGUCGAGUUAGCCUUUGAUUUUAAGUUUAUUAUUUAUUACUUGUGAAUUGACCCAAUAUUUUCAUGAGAGUGCUUGGCUUACUAUUCAAGUACACCUCUCCCCCCUUUUUGUAUCCUUUUAGUUCUAUAAAUAGAUAAGCUUUGUGUGUAAAAUACCCUCAUGUUUGAUUGUGUUUCGAAUUGUUUUAACAAAUGCUUGGUCUCUUGAAUAGAAUAGACUACAUGUUGUACGUUAUAUAUCUUAUUGUUUGAAUUAACUUAGAUGUCUUGUGAAACGCUUAAGUUGUGGUUCAAGUACACAUAGUAUCAUUUCUUUAUGAUUGUAGUUUGAAUCUUUGUUUAGCAAUGAUAAAGUUAGCAGACUUUUGAAAUCGCCUUAACCUAUCUGGGUAUCCAUAAUAAAUUUAUUAAUUACCAUAUGUCCCUCUACUUAGCUAGUAGAGACUAAUUUAAGACUUGAAAUGUGCUACCUCUUUAAGGUAUCUUCCUAAUAGGUAAUUUGAUCCUUGAACCUAGACUCGAGUUUUUUACAAAUAGCUUUUCCAAAAGUCAGGAGUCAUUUCAGGGGUUUUGUUCCUACUUAAUUUCUCCUUUUAAAUAAAAAUAAAAGUAAAUGGCAACUCUAGUUUUUACAAAAUCAUUUUUUUCACAAAUAAAAAACGAGUCUCGCCGUUUAAGUGGGGACGCACGUGAAAAACACGGGUCCAAAAUAGCCUCCAAGAUCGAACCCAUCUUGAUUUUGGACACAUCACCAUUCUAAAUAUAAGGUGGCCCAAUGAAUUAAGGGAUAUGAACCAUCCUUUAUGAAUAAGACUAUAUAUGUUUGUAGUGAGAGUGGUCAAUUUUGAAGAUGGAACUCUUCACUUGGUAACAUUGAUGUCAAGGAUCUUGAUUAUACACUUAACUUCAACAUGAAAUGGUAGAAUCAUCUAAAGUGGUCCCACUUGCAUUGGCUAAGGACUAAAUUAAAAGGUGUGUUAAUCAUCGUCUUAGGAUAACUUUUUAAGGUUUAAGGCAGGUAGAUUAAUUAGAGAGAGUCUUUACCCUAGUAAUAAGAAUCAUGACCUACUUGAAGUAGGCUUGAUCUUUAGGAUACUAGGAUACCUUACAAAAGGACAUAUAGUUUGAGUGCACUACAUUUUUUGCUAAAUUAAUUACCAACAUGCCUUGAAUGCUCAGUUUACUUUAUUAAUGCAUGGAACUUUUUUGUAUUUGUUGAGUUGGACUUAGUUAUAACAUAGACAUAGUAUUAGUUACAUAUGGAUAUAAUGUUGUGUGUUCUAACUAACAUGUCUUAGCUCUCAAAAAGCCUAUGUCAAGUUCCACUCAAUGAACUACUAUGGCCAUAGUUUCCAUGAACACACCCCUUUAAGAUCACCCAAUUGGACACUCUAUCUCAAUCUAAUGAGAUAUCAUAGUGUCUCUAUUAAAAAUACUUAUUGCUACCAAUUUUUAUCAACAGUGACCCAAUUUAUAGGGAAUAUAUGAUCAACUUACGACCUCAUCCACAUAUUAAAGUCACUGACAACCUCAAUAUAAGCUCAAUAUUCUUUCAAGGUUGAGAGACAAUAUAAUGAAGCAACUUAGUGAGGUCAUGACUACUUGACAGUCUUAAGUCAUGACUCACCAUAGGUCAUAUCCAAUUAUAACAAUCACACUAGUGCGCUCACCAUAAGAAACUCAUCCCAAUAGAAAACACUAGAUAUCGCUCCAAUUAGGUGGUGAUGCACUAUUGCAUCUAAUGAGUUACCUAAACACACGACUCAACUAUGAACAAGUCAUUUAUUUGCAAGGAACUUGUGAAUUAGAUUUUCUGUACAACUCCUAAUGCACCCAAAUCACAUACAAUACAAAAUAUGUUAGACGAGAAUGCUCAUGAAGUACAAUACAUGGAAUAAGAAUAGAUAAAAGUGAAAUUGUAGCAUCAUUAAAUAAAUAACGAAUUCCAAAUCUAUUACAUCAUGUCAUGCUUUUAAGGGUUCUAUCCUAACAGAAGGAUGGUUGGUCUUGUCUACCAAGAUGGGGUUCCCAUGGUGAGAAAACUAGUAUAUAUGAUUACACAUUGGAUAGGACCUAUGGUGAGUUAUGACAUAAGGUUAUUAGUUAGUCAUGACUUCACUAAACUACUAUACUAUAUUGUUGUUAGGAUAGAACCCUUAAAAACAUGACAUGAUUUAAUAAAAUUGGAAUUCAUUAUUUAUUUAAUGACGUUCCAGUUUCACUUUUAUUUAUCUUAAUUCCAUGUAUUAUACUUUUUGAGCAUUGUUGCAUGCAUAUUUUCCAUUGUACAUGACUUAGGUGCAUUCAAGGAUGAAAAUAUCGGUAACUAUGGAUAUAUCGGUACUUCAAUUUUAUGGAUAUAUCAGAUAUAUCGGAGAUAUAUCAGCGGAUAUUUUGGAAAAAAAUAUCGAUAAGCUUAAAAUUGAUCAAAAUUUAUAAAAAUAUAAGAAAAACUUCAUAAAAAUGUAAUUAGAAGUAUAAUAAAUAUUUUACAAGUUGUUUUAUUAAAGAAUUUGAUGUAUGUAUAAUAUGAUUUAUCAUAUUUGAUAAUAAUAUCGUAUGCAUCGAUAAAAAUAUGAAUUUUAUAAGUGUACAUUUAUUAUUAAAUUACAUCAAAUAUUAUUUCAUAAUAAUAUUAUGAUAUUUGAUUAUAAUAUGUCUAACUUAAAAAUAUAUAUUAAUAUUAAAAUUAUGAUCCAUUUAAUUCAAUUGUAUUAAAUGAUAUAAAAUAAAUUAUGAUAUAUGUACAAUUUUUUAAUAUUUAAUUAAUUUAUUAAUGAUAUUAAAAACACUAUGAAGAAAAUUAUUAUGAUAAUUUUUAUAUUUUUGGUAAUCAAUUAAAAGAAAUUUUUGUAUUUAAUUAUAAUUAAUUUUCUCUCUAAAAUUUUCUUUUAAAAUUUUCUUUACAUGAUGACUUUGAAUAUAUACUUUUAGUGCAAUACAUUUAACAAAGGGUGAGCUUGCCUUGGUGGUCUAAUGAGCUUAACCCUAAACCUUUUGUUUGGGGUUUGAAUCCCCUCAUCGGCACAAAAAAUGGGCAUUUUUUAGAGUGCAAUGUAGCGAGUGCACUGUAGCGCAUUAACCGACCAAAAAAUCACUAAAAUAUCGGCGAUUUUCUUCAUUUUAGGUCAUUUUUUUCCAUUAAAUCGAUGAUUUAUCACCUAAUGCUGAUAUAUCGGCGAUUUUUUGCCGAUUUUCAGCAUUUUUUCUCCUCUCCGAUUUUUCUCCACAAUUUAUCGUGUCGACGUCUCCCGAUACACGAUAUAUCGGUAAUAUAUCGUUGAUAUAUCCCGACAUUUUCCUCAUUGGGUGCAUUAAGAGUUGCAUAGAAGAUCUGAGUUGUAGGUUCCUUGCAAAUAGAUGACUUGUUCACAACCUAUUCAUAGGUCUAAGCAACCCAUUAGAGGUUAUAGUGCAACACCUUCUAAUUAGGGUGAUGGAUGGUCUUGGCUAUCGGGAUGGGUUUCCCAUGGUGAGUGCACUAGUGCGCAUGGUUACACAUUGGACAAGACCUAUAGUGAGUCAUGACUUAAGGCUAUCAAGUAAUCAUGACCUCACCAAGUUGUUUCAUUAUGUUGUCUCUCAACCUUGAAAGAAUAUUGAGUUUGUGCUCAAGUUAGCAAUGACUUUGACUUACGAAUAAGAUCAUAAGUUAAUCAUAUAUUCCCUAUGGAUUGGAUCAUUGUUGAUGGAAGUCAGUAACAAUAGGUAUUCUUAAUAGAGGCACCAUGAUAUCUCUUGGGAUUGAGAUAGUGUAUCCCAUUGCGUGAUCCUAAGAAGGUGUGUUCAUUGAAACUAUGGUUAUAGUAGUUCCUUAAGUGGAACUUGACAUAGGUUCUUUUGAAAGCUAAGAAAUGUCAAUUGAACACACAAUAGGAGAAUUUGUAACUCAAGGAUGGUAGAGGUAGUCUUGAAAGGCUGAUAAUUUUCACCUUGGUAGACUACGAACACCAAUUCAUGGGGAGAUUGAACAUAAUGGAUAGCAGGUCACAGACUUGAGCACUUGGUGUCUCGCUAUUAUUUACAUAGGAUAUUGGAGUUCAGUUGAUUCUCUAUAGUAGGAUAUUGAAUCAACUUUAGAAUUGGAUUUUAAGAGAGCUAGUAUUCCUAUGGGUCCCAAUGGUUCCUGUUCUAAGCUCAUAUACCUUAUUGACAUGAAUUAUAAAGGCCGAAUUAGCUUUAAGUUCACUUUUGUGCAUAAGGGUGUUUUGGUAAUUACGCAAGAUUGCAUAGGGGUAAGUGAACAAAGUCUCUGGAUUGGGUUAAUUAUUGGGAUAAUUGAUUAAUUAGUAUGUCCUAUUGGUUUAAUUAAUCAAUUAGAACUUAUUUUGGGCUAGAUUAAGUGAUCCAAGCCUAUGUGGGCUCAACUCGCUUAAGCCCACUUAGGAAUCCUAUAAAUGCCCCCUAGGGAUUAGGGUUUCUAUAGCUUUUGUCUUCCACCAUCCAGAGAGAUUGAGAGUCAUAGCCUCCACCCUCUUUUCCUCCCCAUCGGAAAUGUGCCAAGAUCAAGAUUCAAGUCAUCGGGGUGGAAAACUUUAAGUGUACGAGACUUCUGCGAUUUCAAUCUUCAUCUUCACCAUGUGAAUUUGAUUUGGGAACAUUGGAAUCUGAGGUAUGAUUUUCAUUAGUACUUUCUGAAUCCUUUUAAAGUAUAAAAAUGCUUCUUCUUUUUUCCAUUAUGUAUAGAAUUUAGAAAAAAUCUAGGAUAGUUAUGCAUAUUCCUAACUUGAUCCGAACUUGGGAAAUGAAGAGAUCCAGGUUUUUCCCAUCAACUAGUAUCAGAGUCAUAGGUUAAUAAUCAUGCUAGAACCAUUAUAGGGUGUGCUAACUUAUUUUUCCAGGUUUUUUGUUUUUCCCAUGGCCCUAGAGAUAAUUAAUGUGUAUUCUUUAUUAUGAUAUUAUUAUAAUAUGAUGGUUAUAAUUGUGAAUGUUUUUUUUAUUGGGGAUGUAAUAAUUACUUGGAUUGGUUUUUACUUUUCCUAGAUGGGUUGUAAGCCUCAUAAGAGGUAUAGGAUUUUAUUUAUUUUUUUUGUAAAAAUCCCUUUUUUUUUAUCUUAGAAUGAUAUGUAAACUCCAAAUCUUUAGAGUAUAGGAUUUUGUUAUAAAAAUCCAAUUUUUUUUUAUCAUUCUUUGUAACCUAUGGAGAGUAUGGAAGCAAUCUGAAGCAUCACAAAGUGUCCGUGCACAUUCCCUUGCUGGAAAAGAUAAAAGAAGGCUUUUUAAAGUUUCUUUUAUGAGUUCCUAUGGUGAUUUAAGGGAAAAGAAAGAAUCUUAGAAGUUCUUGAUUUGAGAUCCUUGGCAGCACAAUUUCAUCAUUUUUAACUUAAAAUCGGGAUGAAUUUCUGAAAGUUUCUUGGAACAAGCCACCUAUGAUUUUGAAGCUUAGGAAGUCACGAAUUCAAUGCUUCAAACAAAUUGCAAUUCAGAGCUGAAAUGAGGGGGAUAUAGUUGAUUGAAGCAAGGCUGCACAAAGAGCAUGGUAGCACAAUGACACUAAAUUCAACUCAAAAUUGGGGCUAUCUCCUAUGAGAUUUUUGAGGAAAACCACAUACAUUUUGAAGCUCAGGAAGUCAGGAAUCCAAUGCUUCAAACGGAUUGCAAUUCGGAGUUGAAACGAGGGAGAUAUGGCUAAUGGAAGCAAAGUUGCACAAAGGGCAUGCAAUUACGAGAUUAAGUUCGGGCCAAAUUGUUUUUGGUUGUUUAGGCUCAAUCUUUAGGCCUUUUUUUGGGCUCUUUUUGUGGAAAUUGGGCCCUUUUGGUUUUUCCUUUUUCAUUAACCCUAUCUUUGGCUAUAGAGCUAUUAAUUUGGCUUUUAUCCAAGUUUUAGUUACCAAAUUUGCAACAGGAUCGCUAAGGCCAUGAGAAUUAUUUAUUUAAUUUUCCUUUAUGCCUUUUAUGUUUUCUUAUUUUUGGCAUAGAAAAUGUUUUGGUAUUCUUUAGUUAAUGAAUUUUCAUUUUUUUUCCUUUUUUUUAGAUAAUUUAUUAAAUUGUAAUGUCCUAAGAAUUAAGAAAUUUUUAUUUUAGAAAAAGACAAGUUGGAAAAAAAUAAGGAACUUACUUCCUUUUCAAAAUUAAACUCUUCAAGAUUUUUUUUUAAAAUAAAUCUUUUUAAAUUUUAGAUCUCUAAAAAUCUUUUUAUUUUGAGGAAUAAGUUUUAUUUUUCCAAGUCUUUAUGAAAUAAGAUCUUUCUUAUUUAGUACAAUAGUCUAAUUUAAAGAAAUAAAUUAUUUUUGAAAAAAUAUAUGAUAGAUAAUUCAUGAUUAAGAUAGUUUAUCAAGAUAUUGUUUCAAAUAAAAUAAAUUAAAAUGGUAAUUUUGGAUUUUCUUAAAAGAAUAAAUUUUCAUGAGUUUCAUUUCCACUAUUAUUUAUUUAAGAAAUUGAUUGUUGUCAUUUGGAAUUUCAAAUUCCUUUUGAGAAUUUCCUUUAUUUAGGUUAGGUGGUUCUCCAAGCUUUCCCCCCAUAGAGAAAGAGAAUGACACCUAAAUUGGUCCUCUAGACUCUCCCUCCCUGAAAGAAGGAAAAAAUCAUUUAGUUUGAAAAUGAAAGUUCAAGGAUAAGAAAUAUGAAAGAUAUUCCUAUUUGGCAUAGGAGUCCCAAUUCAAGUAAUAAAUAAAAGUUCUAGAAAUUCUUGUGAUAGAUAAUUUAUUUUAAGAUAAUUACCAAAAUUAUCUUAAAGUCUCUCUUCCAAAAUAUUAAGUGGGAACGGGCCAUAAACAAGCCCAUAGCCUCCAAGAUCGAGCCCAUCUUGAUUCUAGGCCCAUCACCAUCCUAAAGAUGGGGUGGCCCAAGGAACUAAGGGAUAUGGACUAUCCUUUAUAGAUAAGACUAUAUAUGUUUGUAGUGGGAGUGGUCAAUCCUAAAGAUGGAACUUUUCACUUGGUAACAUUGAUAUCAAGGAUCUUGGUUACACACUUAACUUACACAUGAAGUGGUAGAAUCACCUAAAGUGGUCCCACUUGCAUGAGCUAAGGGCUAAAUAUAAAGGUAUGUUGAUCAAGGUUUAAGGUGGGUUGAUUAAUUAGAGAGGGUCUCUACCUAGUAAUAAGAGUCAUGACCUGCCUAAAGUAGGCUUGAUUCUUAUAAUACUAGGAUACCUGGCAUGGAUAUAUGUAGUUUGAGAGUAAUAAAAUUUUUGCUAAAUUUAUUACAAACAUGCCUUGAAUGUUCAGUUUCUUUUUAUUAAUGCAUGGAAUUAUUAAAUUUAUUACAGAUAUUAUAUUUUUAAUCUGUUACCUAUUAUCUUUUGUUUAAAUUGGACCUAAUUAUAUACUAAAAAUAAUUUGAAUAUAAUAUUAAUUGCCUAGAAGCUGAUUUUGGUAGAGUUUGUUAUUUCAUUUGAACAAGCCUAUCAUAAAGUAAGAGAAACAUAUCAAAUGUGCCAUAAGACAAAUCAAAAGACUAAGUCUCUCAUACUUGGGUCUUUAGAUAAUGUGUUUCAAAAGCAACACAUGUCUAUUGUCAUAGUCUAUGAUAUUCUCUUUAAAGUUGUAAGGGUUAUUUGGUGAUAAAGGCAAGUCAACUAGACAAGUUGCCCUUAAGACUAUUAUGAACACUAGGAUUCAAGUUAUCUUAGAGAUCUUACUAGAUUCUUUUGGGAUGGGUAAGAAGAUUCUCAAAGAGUAAAAGGGUAUACAUAUGGAAGUCAAGGUUCUUCAGGUUUUUCUCCUAAGAAGAAGAACAACAACACAAAAUAAGGAAAAUUUAAGAAAAUGAAUGAGAAAACAAACUCAUGGGCAUUGAUUCUUUUGUGAUCUUUUAGGAUACUAGAAAAUGAAUUAUCAAAGUGCUUAAGAAUAGGCAAGUACUCAUCAUAUUCUCAUUGUUUAAAUAAAUAGUGGUGGAUAGAUUUAAACCCCACUAUUUGUAGUUCUUUACAGGGUUUUCAACAAGUGAGAAGGUUACAUGAUGGGAUUAUACUUACCUUAACUUCAGUUGCAAGGUUAGUUGUGUAAGCUGGUGGAAGUUAUUACCUUUUUUAUGUGAGACUCCAUUAUCAUUUUUCCAAGUAAUGAGAAUAAUCAGAUCUCACUAAAAGAAAGAACCUAGCACUAGUAAAACAUUUGGCUUUUAAUACCUAGGUCAUAUUAAUCUAUAUAGGAUCCUAUAUUAAUCUAGAAGAUCUUUCAAUGUAUGAAUCCUAUAUAGAUGGUAAAAUGACCAAGAGGCCCCUUUUAUUUUUAAAGGACUUGGAACCAAUGAAUAUUUGGAGUUAGUGCAUGCUCUCACAUAUGAACCUUUUUUUGUUAUAUAUGGAAAGUACAGGUAUUAGAUCAUUUUAUUGAUAAAUACUCUAAUUUUGGAUAUAUAGAUAGGAAAUCUGAUGCCUUUGAUAAAUUCAUUGAAUUUAAGGAGGAAUCAAAUAACCUUUUAGGUAAACAUAUCAAGGCACUUUGAUUAAAUCGAGGUAAUAUGUCUAGUAGGUCCAAUCUUUUCCAUAUGGAGCAUGAGAUGAUAUCCUAGUUGUGUGCACCAAGGACUCCAUUGCAAAAUGGAGCAAUGGAAAAAAGAUAUUGAACUCUAAUAGACAAAGUGAGAUCGGUGAUUGGUUUCUCAUUACUUCCCAUAUUCAUUGGGAAUAUAUCUUAAAGGAUGUAUAAUACCUCUUUUUAUAAAGAAGUGUAUCACUUUAUAAGAUAUCAAAGAGAAUUUAGGGAUUAUUACUUUAUAGUCAAGAUUAUCAUAAGGUGUUUGUUGUUACAAAUACCAUAUUUCUGAUGAAGACUAUAUGAUAUGUAAUUGACCAAACUUCUAUAUUGUACCAAAAUACUUAGCCUUUUUACAUAGCAACUCUUGUCAAGAAAAACUAGAGAAAAAAGUCACUAUGGCUUUUGUAGCACUUCGAGUAUCGUCCUCAAGGACUAGCUUAUGAAAAUUGUCAAUACUAGAAUAAAUGAAUUGCUUUUGUUUAAAUCCUAAAGUGAAAAAUAAUAUGUGAAUGAAAUGAAACUAAGUAAAAGAACUAAAUUAAUAAAAAAAAACCAAAUAUGAUUUUAAAUUCAAAUGAUUCAAGUAUGGGUUUUUUCACAAUCCAACUUAAGGUAUAGAAAUAGAGAGAACAAGGGCUUCUUAAGUAAAGUGAUCUUAGAGUUUUGGGGUUCUUAGCUGCUCGCGAUCAACUUGAGUUCAAUAACUCAAAAUUGCAUUUGAAACCUAAUUUUUCCCAUUUUAAAACAGAUUCCUAAAACCAUCAAAUGAAUGAGAUUGAUUACCAGUUUAAUAUAUGACUUUUUUAACCCUUCUUGCUCCUUAUAGCUUUGUUUUGGGGCAAAUAACGAUAGGAAAGAUCAGAAUAACUAAUGAUCAAGAAUUACCAAGAAUCACUAGUAUCGGGUAAUAAUCUUUCCUAAACUAACUCACAAGGAUAUGAUAAAAAACAAAAAAAAAAUGAUAAAUUGUCACCUAACCAAUAAUUAAUCUCAUUGUUAUAAUAAUUUACCCAUUGUCCCUAUAGGUUUCCUAGCCCUUAGGUUUUCAUGUUUCAAGCCCCAAGUUGGCUUCUUAGUCUCUCAUGGGGUAAUGUCACAUUCACAAUCCAUAAUAGGGUAAAAAUCCAUAAUUUGAAUCAAAAGAAAUUAAAAACAAUAUAUUUAAUAAAAAAGGAAAAAAAAAAAAAAAAACCAAAGUUCUUGUCUUCUUCCACCUUCAAUGUCAAACUCUCUGGAAAAAUAUCCAAGAUUUCUAAAACCUAGAACUAAGAGAGUUUAUAUAAUAUCAUCAAUUACCUAACAUGUGGCACACUCUCAUUGGCCACUUAUUACAAAAUAAUUACCCAAAAAUGACUAAAAAUAAUAAAAUGGUGAUUUCUAGUCGUAUAGGGCCCACUUAGAGCAGAUGGAGUACUCUACAUGCAAUUCCUGAGGUAAUGGAGGUGAAACAUCAAAGUGGCAGUGGGUGAAUUCGAAAUUGGGGUUAUUUCAAAUUAGAUUUCGAAUUCAUAAGUUGGAUUUCGAAUUCAUAAUUUAAAUUUCGAAAUCAUUUCGAAAUGGUCGUUCAACUUUGUGCAAUUGUCUUCAAAUGGCCAUGACUUCUUCAUUUCAACUCCGAUUUGCACACUAUUUGAAGCAUUAGACUCCUCACUAACCAAAAUUUGAAACAAUUAUAGAAUGUAUAAAAUGGACUCUAUAAAGUGCUCCAAAUUUGUCCUCAAAUUCAGAGUAUAUGUUAUCAUCAGAUUUUGAGUUCUAAGUUUCUAUGCAGUUGAAUCUUGCUUCAUACCUCAUUUCCCAUAUUUUCUUACCUUCUUUCUUACUCCAUAAUGGUCAUUUCUCAUCUUUCAGACUCAUGAUAUCCUCGUCUUGCCUUUCCUCAUGGUUCAUGAGUCUUGACUCACUUAUUUCCUCGUUUUACCCUUUUUUGAUCUUUCAAAAUCUAAAGUGAUUCAACUUGCACCCUUUUAUUCCCUUAAACUUGAGAUAAAUCUCCAAAAUACAAGUUAAACUCAUGGCUAGGGCCUUGGAUUCAAUUUAGGUCAAGUUGGGUUAUUUGAGUGUCCUUUGGUACAAAAAUCAUGUCAAAUAUGUGCCAUUAGAGCACAUAUUUUGGCUUCAUUCAGUAAUAAGGCAAACAAUGAUAUAGAUUGGAGAAUACUAGAAGAUAGUCCCACUAUACACAACAUAUUAUGGAUCCAGUACCAACCAUUCCUAUUUCUCAUACACCAAUGCCUAGUUGUAAUGGAAGAUUGUUAAACAACUAGACCGAUUCAUGUAUUUGGGAAAGUCUUUCAAUGUCAUUCUAAAGGAACAUGAGAUCGAUCCCAUAGAUUAUGAUAAAGCAAUGAGUGAUUUGGAUGCACAUAUUUGGAAAAAAAACUAUGGAAGUAGAGUUAGAAUCCUUGUGAUUCUAAUGUAGUCUAGGUUCCUAUAGAAGCACCUAAAGGGAUAAAACCUAUUGGUGUAAGUUAGCCUAUAAGAGGAACAAAGGAGUAGAUGGAAAAGUUGAUUUUUAUGUGGCUAGGUUGUAACUAAAGGUUAUAGUUUGAAACAUUGUUCCGAAUAUAAGAAACCUUUUCACCAAUAGCCAUAUUCAGAUCCAUCAUAGUACUCCUACUGAUUACGGUGUAUCUUAUUUAUGAGAUAUUACAAUAGAAUGUCAAUAUAGUGUUCUUAAAUGAUUAUCUUGAUAUUAGUAUCUAUAUGAUGUAAUCAGAUAUUCUCAUAGCAAAGGGUCUUGUGUGUACAAGAAGGUGCAGGUAAGCAUGAUAGUCUUUAUGCUCUUGUAUGUUAAUGACAUUCUACUCAUUAGUAAUGAUGUAGGAUUAUUGUCAUCGGUUAAGAUCCGGUUUCCUACUCAGUUCCAGAUGAAAGAUUUGGGAGAAGUGCAGUAUAUUCUUAGGAUUAAGGUCCUUAGGGACCACAAGAUUUGGAAAUUCCCGCUAUAUCAAGCUACCUACAUAGAUAAGCUUUUGAUCAAGUAUGUGAUGCAGGAUUCCAAGAAAGGUUUGUUACCUUUUAGGCAUGGAAUUUCCCUUUCUCAAGAUCAAUGUCCUAAAACACCUAAAGAGAAAGAGUACAUGUAGUUAGUAACCUAUACCUCUAUAGUGGGUAGUCUUUUAUAUGCAAUGUUAUGUACUAGGCCAGAUAUUUGCUUUGAAGUGGGUAUGGUGAGUAUAUAUUAACUUAAUCUAGGUCCAAAAUAUUGGACAACUGUCAAGCAUAUACUCAAGUAUCUUAAGAGAAUAAGGAAUUAUGUGUUUGUCUCCAAAGUGUUGAGAUAGUUUAGAGGGUGACAUGAUAGUUGACAAGAUACCUUAUGUGGAGAACUUGGUAGAUCCCUUCACCAAGACAUUAACAUGAAGAGUCUUUGUUGGUCAUUAGGAUAACAUAGGUUUUAAAUGAGUAUCUGACAUCUUUUAUAGGCAUGAUGCUUUGAGGGUUAGUGGGAUAAUGUUAGGAUAGAGCCCUAAAAAGCAUGACAUGAUGUAAUAAAAUUGGAAUUCAUUAUUUAUUUAAUGAUGUUCUAGUUUCACUUUUAUCUAUCCUCAUUCCAUGUAUUAUACUUUAUGAGCAUUGUUGCUUGCAUCUUUUGCAUUGUACGUGACUUAGGUGCAUUAGAAGUUGUACAAAAGAUCUAAGUCAUGGGUUCCUUGCACAUAGAUGACUUGUUCGCAACGGGUUCAUGGGUUUAGGCAAUCCAUUAGAGGUUGUAGUGCACCACCUCCAAUUGGAAGGAUAGCCAGUCUUGGCUAUUGAGAUGGGUUUCCCAUGGUAAGUGCACUAGUGUAAAUGGUUACACAUUGAACAUGACCUACAGUGAGUCAUGACUUAAGGCUAUCAAGUAGUCAUGACCUCACCAAGCUACUUCAUUGUGUUGUCUUUCAACCUUGAGAGAAUAUUGAGUUUGUGUUAUAGUUAGUAAUGACUUUGACCUAUAGGUGAUAUCGUAAGUUGAUCAUAUAUUCCUUAUGGAUAUUGUUGAUGGAAGUCGAUAGUAAUAGGUAUUCUCAAUAGAGACACCAUGAUAUCUCUUAGGAUUGAGACAGUGUGUCCCAUUAGGUGAUUCUAAAGAGGUGUGUUCAUGGAAACUAUGGUCAUAGUAGUUUCUUAAGUGAAACUUGACAUUGGCUCUUUUGAAAGCUAAGAUAUGUCAAUUGAACACAUAAUAAGAGGAUUUGUAACUCAAUGAUGGUAGAGGUAAUCUUGAAAGGUUGAUAGAUUUCACCUUGGUAUAUUACAGACACCAGUUCAUAGGGAGACUGAACACAAUGGAUAGCAGGUCACGGACUUGAGCACUUAGUGUCACAUUGUUAUUUACAUAAGAUACUAGAGUUCAGUUGAUUCUUUGUAGUGGGAUGUUGAAUCAAGUUUAAAAUUGGCUCAAUAUACCUUGUUAGCACGGAUUAUGAGGGUCGGAUUGGCUCUAAGUUCACUUUUGUGCAUAAGGCUGUUUUGGUAACUACGCAAGGUUGCAUAGAGGUAAGUGAACAAGGUCUCUAGAUUGGGCUAAUUGAUUAAUUAGUAGGCCCUAUUGGGUUAAUUAAUCAAUUAGAACCCAUUUUAAACUAGAUUAAGUGACCCAAGCCCAUGUGGGCUCAAGUCACUUAAGCCCACUUAGGAACCCUAUAAAUACACCCUAAAGGUUAAGGUUUCUAUAGCUUUUGCCUUCCACCAUCUAAAGAGAUUGAGAGUUAUAACAUCCAUCCUCUUUUCCUCCCCACUAGAAGUGUGUCAAGAUCAAUGUUCAAGUCAUCAGACGAAAGACUUCGGGUUUGCAAGAAUUAUUCAAUUUUGAUCUUUAUCUUCACCAUGUGGAUUUGAUUUGGAAACAUCGAAAUAUGAGGUAUGGUUUUCGUUAGCACUUUCUAAAUCCUUUUAAAGUAUAAAAAUGUUUUAUUUUUUUUCCAUUGUGUAUAGGAUUUAGAAAAAGCCUAUGAUAGUUAUGCAUGUUUCUAACCUGAUUCGGACUUGGAAAACGGAGAGAUCUAGGUUUUUCCCAUCAAUUAUCUCUCAACAUUGAGAUAAUGUUGAUCUUGUGUAGAAGUUAGCAUUAGCUUUGACCUACGGGUAAGAUCCUAAAGUGAUCACAUAUUCUUUAUGGAUUGGCUCAUUGUUGACGAAAGCUAGUAGCAACAGGUAUUUUCAAUAAAAGCACCAUGAUAUCUCAUGGACUUUGAGAUAGUAUGUCCCUUAGGUGAUCCUAAUGAUGUUUAAUUGUGAAAUUUGUGGGCUCAUAAUAAUUUCUUUAGUGAAAUUUGACAUAUGCUCUUAAUGAGCUAGAAUACAUCACUUGAUCACAUAAUAAGAGGAUUUGUAACUCAAGGAUGGUAGGGGUAAUCUUGAAAGGUUGAUAGCCUUCAUAGGAAGACUAUAUAUAGUGGAUAGCAAGUCAUAGACCUGAGCACUUGGUAUCUCGUUGUAAUAUACAUAGGGCACCAGAGUGCAGUUGACUCAUUAUAAUAGAAUAUUGAGUCAACUUUAAAAUUGGAUUGAUCUAAGGGAGCUAGUACUGUCAUAUGGGUCUAAAUGGUCCCAUUGGAGAUCAUAUUCCUUGAUAACAUGGUUUAUAAGAAUUGGAUGGGUUUUUAGUUCACUUAUAGGCAUAAAGGUGUUUUGGUAAUUAUGCAAGGUUGCACAAGGGUAAGUCAACAGUAUCUCCGGACUAGGCUAAUUGAUUAAUUUGGAGCCUUGUUAAGUUAAUUAAUCAAUUAGCAACUUUCUCAGGUUAGAUCAAGUAACACAAACUCAUGGUAGACUCAAGUCACUUAAACCUACUAGGAAGCCUAUAAAUACCCCUUUUAAAUGUUAGGAUUUCAAUCUUGUAGCCUCUCUCUUUACUCCAAAGAGAGAAAACCUUAACCUCCAACCUAGAGAUCUCUACCAUCUUAGUUCCUACAUUCAAGGAGGGGUCAUUGAGUGGAGGACAAUUGAGUUUAUGAGAUCAUAUGUAGAUUUAGAUCUCUUUACACCGAUAGGAGUUGAUUUGGGAACAUCUAGAUCGCAAGUAUAACACUUUUUUUUUCUAGAUUUUUGGUUUAUUUUUUAAUAUCAAAGUUUUCUACAAUGCUUAGAUCUAAAGAGCAUAAGAUAGGAUUGCAUGUAACCUAAUGAUCCAAAGUCAAGGAACAGAGCAAUUUGAGGUUUCCUAACGUACAGAAACAUCAUGGCUUGGCUUAGAGCUUAAGGAUCUUUGGACAUAGGUAAGUUUUGUGUCAAACCACAUAGAUUGAGUUUACAUUUUCUUAUUUACUUUACUACUUCAAUUGUUAUUGAUUAUUGUUCAUUGAAUGUAAUCUCAUUAUGUUGAAAUGUAAUAUAAAUUUUGUGAAAAUUAAAGACAACCACUAAAUUCAUCCCCCUCUUAGUUGACCAUUGUAAGUUUGCUAAUUGUUAACUUCACUAAAAUCUCAUUAUCCACUUUCCUAAUAAUAUAAAUAUAUAAUAUAUAAUAUUUUAAAUUAGAUUUUUAAUUAAAUUCAAAUUAAUGGUUUUGUAAUCUAAGUAUUCUAAAAUGUUAUACGUUAUAAGCAACUUUAGUAUUUAAUAAAACUAUGUUUUGUUAUUAUAGAGCCCUUAAAAGUGUGACAUGAUGUAAUAAUGAAAGGAUUUCCUUAAUAUUUAUAUUAUGAUUCCAACUCUCCUUUUACUAUCCUAUUUAUGCAUUAUCAAUCUUAAGCAUUCAAGUUUGCAUCACUUGAAUUGUACAUGACUUGGUUGCAUUAGGAGUUGUAAGGAACAUCUAAGUCAUGGGUUCCUUACAUGUAAAUGAGUUAGUCACAACUGGUUCAUAGGUUUGGAGCAAUCCAUCUAAGGUCAUAGUGCACUACCUCUUAAUUAAAGGAAUGACUUUUCUUGGUUAUCAACAUGGGUUUCUUAUGGUGAGUGCACUAAUACGUAUGGUUACACAUUGGAUAAAACCUACGAUGAGUCAUAAUCAAGUGGUCAUGACUUCACCAAAUUAUUAUAUUACAUACACUCUCAACCUUGAGAGAAUAUUGAGCUAGUGUUGAGGCCUUCAAUGGCUUUGACCUAUGGGUAAGCCACUAAGUUGGUCACAUAUUCCCUACAGAUUAGGUCCCUAUUGAUUAAGGUAGGUGGCAAUAGGUAUUCUAAAGAUAGACACUAUGAUAUCUCAUGAGUUUAAGAUAAUGUGUUCCCUUAGAUAAUUCUAAGGACAUGUGAUCAUGAAAUCUGUGGUCGUAGUAAUUCCUUAAGUGGAAUUUGACAUAUACUCUUAGAGAGUUAGAGUAUCUCAAUUGAUCACAUAAUAAGAGUAUUUGAGACUCAAGGAUGGUAGAUGUAAUAUUGAAAGGAUGAUGACAUUUACCUUUUUAGAUUAUGGACAUCAAUUCAUGGGGAGCUUGCGUGUGGUUGUUUGUAGAUCAUUGAUCCAAAUUUUAUAUCUCGAUUUAAUAUCAUAGGGAUCUUAAGCGUUGGAUAAGCACUUGAGCAGUUCCAAUGCUUGAACGUUGCUUCCACCACUCGAGCAUCCCCAUAUUUUCAAAAUAUUAAUUUAAUAUUUUUAAUUCAAUAAAAAUACACUAGUCUACUUUAACCCUUUAAACACCUAACUUACCACAAUUCAAACUUUUUUGAACUUACCUGUAACUUUUUGGUUGAAUGAGUAGCAACAUUAAAUCUUCAAUGGAGAGUACACUACCUAGAAAGGUUUUUUAAGCUAAAAAAUAAAAUGAAACAAAAUUGUCAAUUUACAAUGCAAACUCAUUGUCCUAAAAAUAAUAAAAAUAAUUGAAAACAACUAAAAUAUAUCCUCUAAAAAUACCUUAUUUUUUAUUUAUAAAAAUAAAAAAUAAAAAAUUAAUUUUCAAUUGUUAAACAUGUUUUUUAGUGGAUAACAGAAAAAGUUUUGAAAAAUAGUUGUAAAACUAAGCCAGUUUUAUGGAAGACCUAGCAGAUGCCAAAAGCAGGUGGGGAUAGUUGGGAGGAUGUUGAAAGAUGUUAGUCAAAGCCCUGAUAGCCCUUGGAGGCUCAAACUAUGAAUGAAAUGUGCUUGAAACAGUGAUGGUUGGUAGGAAGUCGCAAAGAACUUAACCUCAUUUUGUUGAUAACAAAGACACACAUUGAAACCAGCCAUUGUUAGGUCCCUCAUGAUUGAACAAGCCAGGAUUCAGUGAGAAAAGAAGUAAGAUGGUUGGAGAAUUGUUAAAAAUUACAAACAUAAGUGGAGAAGUUGUAUAAAUGCAUCACCAAUCAUUAUGAAUGAUUCUUCAUUUUCUCCAAACCUAAAAUUCUCAAGCUCAAAUUUCUAUUUGUUGACUAUAAGUCUAGAAUGAUUAUUUUUCAAACUUUAAGGUCUCGUUUUGAUAUAUUUUUUGUUUUCUAUUUUUUUUAAAUAUAUAUAUAUAUAUAUAAAGUAAAAUUAUAGAGUUAUUAUAUUUCGUAUAAAAGCUACUAUUAUUUUAUAUUUUUAACAACAAAAAAUAAGAAAUAUAUCCAAUAACACUAUAUUUUAAAUUAUAGUUUGUGUUUUAAUUGUGAUAUAGUGAAAAGGGAAUUAUGCUGUUGAUUAAGAAUUUUUAUUAGUGGGUUGUAAGGUUAUGAGAAGGCUAAGACAAAGCUAAGAUGGCUUUUAUUAUCAUUUUUAUUAUUAUGAUAUUUUGAGUUGAAAUUAGGGUGUUGUUUGUGUUUUUAACUUUUUAUUAAAAGUAACUUGUUUUCGAAUUUCAGAUCAUUUAUUUAUUUAUUUAUUUUUGUUAACUUGUUAGUUAUUUAUGAAAUUUUCUUAUUCUAUAGAAAAUAUCAAAAUAUUUUACUUUUUUUUAAUACUAAAAAUAACCUAUUGAUUUUUCUUUACUUCUCAAUAUUUAAUAUAAAUAAAAUACUUAAAAAGAAAUAAUUUAAUGUUUAAUACUACUAUUUAGUUUUAAAUUCUAUUUAAAAUUAAGUUUUAAAAAAUAAAAACAAAUACUACCUAGGUUUUAUGGCUCUACUUGGAAAGUAUUUUUGAAAACAGUUUGAAAAAUAGUUUUUUACAACAAUCUUAGAAAAAUAUUCUUUAGAAAAAAAAUAUUUGAGAAAUUAAAAUGUUUUUAACUUGUUUUCUAUAUAUUUUAAAAAUAAAUUUUAUAUAUAACUUUAUUUUUAAUCAUCCAUCAUAUUUAUAAUUAUUUUUUAAAACAUUCUUAAAAAGCAAGUGAAAAUAAAAAAUAAAAAUAACUAAAAACAAUUAAAAGAUGUUUUCUGAAAACAUCUUAUUUUCUAUUUUUAAAAACAAAAAAUUGUUUUAUUUAUUUUUUAUCAAAUCUGUUUUUCUACCUUUUUUUCUUAAACAGAAGACUAUUUUCCAAAACAAUUACUAAAUAAAGUCUAUAUCUUCAUUUUUUUUAUUUCAAAUAUUAUCACUAUAUUCGCUUUUUUACAUAUGAUUGGAGAUUGAAACUAAUGAUUUUAUAAGGAAAUUGAUUUUCAAAGUGAAAAUAUGAAAAGUUAAACAAGAUAAUACAAUAAAAAUCAUAAUUAUAUUUAUAUAACUUGUACAAAAUCAUCCAUACUUAUAAAAAUCCUAAUUCUUAUAUUUGCUAACAAAGAGCAUGAUUAAUAAUAUGGUCAAACAUAGACUUUUUUUCAAGUACAAACCCACAAUGUCUCCUUAUAAUUUAUUAAAACUCAUAAACAUUGCAAUAGGUAUCAAUAAAUAACAUUCUUUUCUCAUCCCUUCUACUCAAAUAAUUAAAUAAGGCCUAAAUAGCUUAGGAGUUAUUUGGUUUAUUUUUUAAUUUAUUAAAAAAUAAAAUAUUAUUUUAUUAAUAGUAAAGAGUCCUUGAAGGUAUUCAAUAAAACUUAAUAUUUAUUACUUAAUAAUUUAAGUUGACUUUUAAUUAAAUUAUAUUUAGGUUAUUGAUUUAAAACUCAUUACUUAAUUUUUACUAUUAAGAUUGUUUAAUAAAAUUAACUUAAAAUUUAUUUAUAAAUUAUUAAUUUGAUAUAUUUAUCCUUAUAAAUUAUAAUUAAGGUAACGAAGAUCUAGUGAGGUUGUGAAGUAACAAAAAAAAAAAAAAGAUAAGUAUGACAAAUAAGGAUAAAAAGAUAAAAUAAAGAUAUAAGUUUAAAAAUAAGUUAAUUAUUUUUACUUAUUACUUAAAGUUCUUAUUUUAUUUUAAAUCAUAUCAUUAAGUUAUUUUACUAAAUAUACUUAAUUUAUAUAAUAACUUAAAUUAAAUUAUUAAGUUGAUUUAUCAAACACUCAUUUAAUUAACGUCUUUUUAUUUUUUAAUAACAAUUAUAUUAGCGUUAUAUCAUCGAAAACUAGAAUCAAUUAUGAUAUAUCACGUGUGUAACAUGAUUUCAUUAUUUUAUAUACCGUUUGAAUAAUCAUUAAUACUUGAUUCCGCUCUUUUGUAUCUUAAUUCCAUUUAUUUGUAUUUAUUUUGUAUAUUUGUAUAAUCGUUGAUGACGUAAAUUUUCAUUAUAGACUUUAUACGAUCAAGAUCACAAAUUAAAUUUAACGGGUAAUCGAAUGGCAUAAUAUUUUUCAACUACAUUAUGUGGAAAAAUAUCAACCUAGAAGAACUUUCCAGGCCCACCCGAUCCCCGACCCGACUUCUCCCAAUCGAGUCAUACGAAAUCAUGCACACUCUGAGGUGUCGGUGGGUCGUCGGUGGGUCAGCCCUUCCAAAGGUUCUCUCCGCGAAAUCCAGCCUGUUAUCAAUUAAGCCUCGAACACCUCCCCCCCACCAAACCCCACAUCAGCCGUCCACUUCCCAAUCAGAUUCCAGAUCACACGCAAAGUAGCACGAGGUUUAACCACGUGGCACCACCAGGGCCGUUUCGAACCUGAAAAAGACGCACGAUCUAACACACCUCUCUUGCUUGGAACGCAAACACAAAAAAUAAAAAGCGUUCCUCUUCUUCCCUUUGUCAUCCCACGUAUUUCUCACUCUGAGCUCGCUCCUCAAAUCUUCUUAACCAUGGUUGAACGCAGCGUUUUGAUAGGGUUGGCGGUGGCGGCGAUUGUGGCGGUGGUGGUGGUGGAGGGGGACUCCUCGGUGAAGACACUGGUGAAGACGGUAAAGGGAAAGAAGGUGUGCGACAAGGGGUGGGAAUGUAAGGGGUGGUCGGAGUUCUGCUGCAAUUUGACGAUUUCGGACUAUUUCCAGACUUACCAGUUCGAGAACCUCUUUUCCAAGCGCAACUCGCCGGUGGCCCACGCCGUCGGCUUCUGGGAUUACCGCUCAUUCAUCCUCGCCUCUGCGGUCUACCAGCCGCUUGGCUUCGGCACCACCGGCGGCAAGGUCAUGCAGAUGAAGGAGCUGGCCGCAUUCCUCGGCCACGUCGGCUGCAAAACUUCAUGUAAGUGGUUGAUUUGGUGUUUGGCUGCUGAGAAAAUUGAGGGAAAAUGAGAGAAAAAGAAAAAAUCAGCGUCUGAUUAAGUCUUUGUAGUUAGUUCUGUGCAUUUUUGGAAAUCUAAGAUUUGGUUUAGUGUUUUUUUCCCCUUCGUUUUUCUCGGCAGCUAGAUGGGAUUUAAGGUAAAUUUGGGAGAGUUUAGCUUUGAUUUGAGCAAUAAAUUUUUUAUAGGGUUUAUUAAGAAAAUGUUAUAUAGAUUUGAGGGUUUAAUUUUACAAUGGGUGUUUGAUUCGUCGAAUUGACUGGAGGAUUUGGAUUGGAUUUCUGGACUUAGUUUUGAUCUAGGGUUUGAUUUGAUGGGUUUGAAAUGGAUAAUGGAAUGGACAAUUUUCUUUCAUCUGAGGUGAGUUUGGACGGUUUUGGGAUUACAUUUUGUGAUUUAAUUUUGGUCUAUGUGAUUGGACCUGUACAUGAUGCAUGUUUGGAAUUUAUUUCACUUCGGAUUGGAUUAAAUGGAUGGAUUUCAUGACCCUGCCUGGAUCAGAGUGAAUGAGGAAAAGAAAGAAAAUAGUUCUGCAAGUUACCCAGAAAUGGUUUCUUCCAUUAUCUAUUUUCACUAUUUUUCUUUCAUUUUCCCUGGAGUUCUUGAGAUCCAAACAGUGCCCACGACACUCAUUACGAUUUAUAAUAAGGUGUGUGGUGAUAUUUUCAGGUGGGUACGGAGUGGCCACAGGAGGGCCAUUGUCCUGGGGUCUCUGCUACAACAAGGAAAUGAGCCCCAGUAAGUCAUACUGUGACGAUUUCUACAAAUACACCUACCCCUGCACUCCUGGUGCCGAAUACUAUGGCCGUGGUGCAUUGCCUAUCUUCUGGUAAGCAUCUUUGCCUAUAAUUUGAUGGGGAGUUUUGGUUGAGCCAAUCCCAAAAUGAAGGAAUUUUCUGGUGUGAUUUAGAUUAAGCGUUGUUAUGACAGGAACUACAACUAUGGAGCAACUGGAGAAGCCUUGAAGGUGAAUCUGCUGGACCAUCCAGAAUACAUCGAACAAAAUGCUACCUUGGCCUUCCAGGCUGCAAUUUGGAGGUGGAUGACCCCAGUUAAGAAGUCACAGCCUUCUGCACAUGACGUCUUUGUUGGCAACUGGAAGCCCACCAAGAAUGACACUUUGGCCAAGCGGGUGCCUGGUUUUGGAACCACAAUGAACAUUCUAUACGGGGACCAGGUUUGCGGGCAGGGCGACGUUGAUUCCAUGAACAACAUCAUCUCCCAUUACCAAUAUUACCUCGACCUGUUGGGUGUUGGUAGAGAACAGGCAGGACCCCACGAAAACGUCACCUGUGCUGAGCAGAUUGCAUUCAACCCAUCCUACACUGCAUCCUCUUAAGCUCCAUAUGAUCACCCCUUGGAUGGAUUAUGAAAUAAGAAAGGGCAAGUAAGAUUGUAAGAGAUGUGUGAAGUUAGACAUGACAGGUGUUAUAAGGUGUGGAUUCAGUUGCUGCUGCGCGCUUCUGUCAUUUAUGUGUAGAUUUUGGCGUUCAUUUUGUGUAAUGUGUAGUCAUUAAAUAUGAAUUGUAUGAAGCAUUUUAUUCAUAUAUAUUUGUUUCAACUGUGAAGACCUUUCAGAAGUUGCAGUGUGCCUGAAAUGGUAGUAGUAGAGGAACCAAUGGUCUAUAAUGGAAACCUCAAAGAUGAGUUAUUCACAAUAAAUGAUGGUGUGAUACCUGAAGGAACAUCAAAUUCUUUGUCUAAUCUUGGGCAGGAGGGUGGUCGUACAGUUGGGUUUGUAGCCGACUUUGCUUAAGAGUGUGAAGCAUGAUGCUACAUUUGAAUGGAAUGUCAUACCAUGUAUAAUAUCAAUACAUUUUGUUGGAACUUGUCGGUUUGAUUUUGGGUUGGAAACUCUUUGGCUUUGAGAUGGUAUCCAUUAUAAAAUUAAAUCAUAUAAAAGGCGAUAGGUGGAGCAUCAAUUCGGCUUAUGAUUUAGCAAUAAUAAUAGUGACAUCAAUGAGUAGGGGCUAUUCCUUGUUGACUCAUCUCUGUGGAUGAUGCAGUUGUGUCGGUGCCUAGGGCAUAAAGGCAGUGUCCUGGUCUUACCAUAUACAAAUUAUGAUUAGUUGAGACGUCGAUAGUGUCAUUACAAUUUAGAUUUGGAAAAUGAGAAGUGAAGGUGGUGGUACGUGCUCCACCAUUAAAUUUGAAAAUGAAGUAUGAAAAACUUUAAUACUGAAAACUAAACAGUUAUGUAAAAGUUAGGUAUUGUAAGUGUUGAAUUAAUAAAAAUAAAAGGUGUUUGAUGGCAUCUUAAUUUUAAAUUUUGAAUUUAAUUUGACAAUGGUUUUAAAAUCAAGUGGUUGGAGUGUGGUGAUCGAUGAGCAUUUGUUGAGGAACAAGAGGCUGAUGGCGGUAUCAAUAAAAGCAAGUUUCUCGACCUGACCAAUGACAGACAAAGAAAAAGCAUUAACGACCAACCCACAACACCCAACCAAAAAGGGUUUCCUCAAUGAAGAUUAGGCAAUCAAAAAAGUGUAUGUUACUGGUUUGUCAUUUGUAUGAAUUGAUUGUGUAGAUCCACAAGAUCAUAAUGAAACAAUCAAAGGCUAAAAAUGAUUUAUUUUAUAGAAUUAAUUUUAUAGUUAUUAUAUGAUAAUUUUUAAAUAUCGUAUAACUAAUAUAUUAAUUAAUAAAAAUUAUCUUUUGAUGUUAAAUAUAAUGUUCAUUAAUUAUUUUCACUUUUUUUAUGAAGACUUCCAAUCUAAGAAGAAUGUUUAAAUAAUUUUGGUAAGUGUUUCAUUUAUUUAAGGUAUCGUGUGGUUCCAAAACAUUUGAAGAAAAAUAAAAAGUAUAUAUAUAGAGAAAUAAUAAAAGAAAAAAUAAAGAAAAUAAAAAAUAAUAUAUAAAUAUAAUAAAUUAUUUUGAUAUGUUAUUUUCUCUCUUGUAUAAAGAUUAAAUCAUUUGAAAAUAUAUUAAUUUUUAAUUAAUUUUAAUUAUAUUUUAUUUUUCUAUCAUUUUUUAGUAAAAUCAAAUAUGAGAAAAUCUUUUUUCUUAAUAUUUUUCUUUAUAUAUAUACAUUUUUGGACAACAAAACAUAACCUAAAUGAUAAUGAAAAAAUGAUUAGACUAUAGCUAAUAAUAUGAGUUUUUAUUUUUAUUUAUUUAUUUAUUUUUAAGUUGUAUAAUUUUGAAAUAUGAGCUCAAGUAAAUGACCUCAUUUGCCCGAAUAAAUUACCUACAAUCCCCAUUUCCAACUUUUUCAAACAUAACUUACACUUCAGGUUUGUGAGUAAGGAUGCACUGGAGUUGUUGGAUUAUUAAAGGAUUGUAUUAUUAAUAGGUACAUUAAGAAACACAUAUUCGAAAGAAUGACCAUCUUUAAAAAAACAUGAAGGGUAUGUUUGGUUUCUUGUAAAUGCUUAGAAAGGGAAAAAAAAAUACUAAAGAAAUCAUCUUCUUUGAUUUGAAUGACAUGGAAAAUAAAAGGGAUAAAAAAAAUAUAUAGGGGAAAAUGUGAAAGAAAAUGUUUAAAUUUUUUUUUUGUAUUUUCCUUUUUUAAAAACAAUACAAAGGAAAAUAGAAGAAAAACCAAAAAAAAAAAAAGUAAAGGAAAAUUUCCCGGGACUCAUCUCUUUACCAAGUCAUACCUCUUCACUAUUGUAUCUCAUCAAUCUCUUCACAAGUCGAGAGUCUUCUUCUCUCUCUCUCUCUCUCUCUCUCUCUCUCUCUCUAAUAUAGCUCCUAAAAUCAUCUCCAUCAUAAAGAGCCUAGUUGACUUUACUAAGACCGUAAGUCCUCCCAACAAAGCGUGCGUGACCUUCUUGACCGAUAAUGAAGACUACAUUAAAGAUGUUUGUUGCAUUGGCUAAGGGACUAUGGAAGGUGAAAUCCUUUUACUCACUUGUAGUUGUAGUGUUGCCAAAUGUGUCGAUGGAGCACAACAAUGAGCCUAUUGAAAUUAAUGUUGAUAUUUUAUUUGUUAGUUACAAUUAUAGAUUGAGUCAAAUAAGAUGUGAAAUGUGUUACCUAUCUUUUAAGAAAUACCCACUAUGUGUAUAAGUGGGUUGGUGUUAGUAGGCCAACAAUUGAUUUAUUUAAAAGUUCAUUAGAGUUCGAUUGUCUAUUUAAAUACAAAUUGAUGAAUGAAAAUCAAUCCAAUUCCAUUAAACUUUGUGCUUCUUAUCCAAAGUUUUUAAGUGCUCUAUUUUAAUUUUACUUCUCUCUUCCUAAUUCUUAUAGAGAAGACAACUUUUUAGAUUAUCAUCCGGUAUCAAAAUUAGGUUCAUCAAAUGGUAAACAACACUAGUCUUACCCUAAUUGCACCCAUCAUCCUACUUUUUCAAGGAAGUGGAUAUGAAGUUUAGAGCAUGAAGAUGAAUUACUUUUUUAUCUCCCAAGAUUUAUGGGAUUUUGUGGAUAAGAGUUAUGAAAAAAAUGAGAUUCAUGUAGAGGUUAUUAGAGAUACGUGAAUGAAAUAUGCUAAGGCAUUUUUAUUUUAUUUUAUCUAACAAGCAAUUUCGAAAACUACUUUUCCUCACAUUUCUAUAACAACAAAGUUCAAAGAAGGUUGAGAUGCUUUGCAAAAAGGAUAUCAAAGCACAACUAAGGUACUUACAUUAAACUUCAAACUCUUUGUAAAAAGUUUGAAACAUCACCCAUGAAAGAUAGUGAGUGUCUACAUGAUUUACUUUUGCAAUAUGUUAGAAAUUGUAAACCAAAUUUAGAAAUAUGAUGAAUGGCUAUCCCAUGAAAAAAUGGUUAAAUUUUUUUUGAGAAACUUGUCUAAGAAGUAUGAUCAUGUAGUUGCAACAAUAGAAUAGUCCAAAUAUUUAUGUGUAAUAGACAUAAAGAAAAUUUUGUUGAAAAGGCAUAUCAAACUAGAUUGUAGUUCUCUAAAGAUAAGACAGGUAACAACAACAAGGAGUCUAGCAACAAAAAAGAAAUGAAGAACAUUCCUCCUGUGGUAAAAGAAAAGAAGAAGUGGAAAAGAUGGAUGAGUUAAUGGGUAAUAUUCAAGAAACCAAAACCACUAUCAAAAUGGGUUUGGUGAAAAAGGUGAAAGCUACAAUCAUAAGUCAUUCCAAUGUUACUAUUGUAAGAAGUUUGGCCACAUAAAAAGCAUUACAAGCUAAAAGAAAAGCAAGUCAAAUUUGUUGAGGAAAAAGAGAGAUAUUGAAUCUAAAACUUUAUUUCUUGCUUGUUAUUCAAUUAAAGAAUGUUAUUCAAAUGUUUGGUAUUUGGAUAGUAGGUGUUGUAAUCACAUGACAACAAGCUUGAAUGCUUUUACAAGUCUAAAUAAAUCAAUGGCCACUCAGGUGAAGAUGGGUGAUGGAGCAAUUAAAGGAGCAUAAGGUAGAGGUGUAGUAAAAGAAAAAUUAGGUGAAAUGGGUUAUGUAAAGAAAGUUCUCCACAUGUUCCUGACUUAGAUGUAAGCUUGUUAAGUGUAGGGUAGUUUCUAUUAAAGGGAUACUUACUUGUUUUUAAAGAUUUGAUAUAUUCAAUCUUCCAAAAUAAAACCAAAAGGCAUUUAUUGGUGAAAGUUUCUAUAGUUAAAAACAAUUUUUUUUUCCUUUAACCCUUGGUGGUGAUACACAUGCAUGUAGUGUUUCAUUAUCUGAUGAUAAUUAGUUAUGGCAUUGUGGCUUUAGACGUUUAAACUAUAAGAGUUUGGAACAUUUGUCUAAAAAA